rnacentral:lncRNA from 1 species
CCACUGUUUAUUAACUAAAAACUUCUUUUCUUUGACCGCCCAUUUAGACUUCUCCGUGCCAGCAUCUCCUGAAACCACAUGUGUCACCGAUGGGUCCACUUGUGUCGAACAAGAGGCUCCCAACUGCUCUGCCAUCUUCCAGAGAGGUUGAUUCUCAGCAUCGACAUUCGAAGGAAAUUUGUGGCUGAAAACAAUUUUACACCCCUUUAACACAUCCUUCUUAACAGUUUUCAACACCUACAAAAAUAGCAUCCAGAAGAAUCCAUAUUAAAUAUAUGAAGCUAAAGGAAGUAGUCAUGUUUUAGUGGUUCUGAAAAAAACUUGUUCACCUGUCUCACCUCUCUUUCAACAAGAUUAUCCUCCAAUUCCUUCAAGAUGGCCACCAACAAUAGAUUAGCACACAAAGAAAGUGUAACUUUUUGCCAUCAUGGAGAUAUAAAGUGGUACUUACACAUGGUUCAUCCUAAUGCUAUAUAAGUUAGGAUACUGAUUUGUUUCCUCAUUUCUUCAUUGGUGAUUCGUAUUUUCGAUGAUUUUAAGAAUGGGUAAUAAGUUUUUGUUAAGAGUUAAUGUGUUCAGUUUCAUUUUUUUUAGUUUCUGUUCUAUAAGGUUUUGUGUCUUGUGAUUGGAGUGUCAUGUGGUUAGAGGUUCUAAAAGACAAACAUGACUUUUUUUAUUUGGUCAGAGGAGGGGGGAGCAAGUUCUGUUCAAACUUUGGGUUUUCCGAUGGCUUGGAAGAAAUUAUAUCACUAUUGCUAUUACAAGUGUCCAGUUUGCAGAAAUGACAAGGCAUGCUACAAUCUAUGCUUCUUUGGUAGAUUUGAUUCAAAUUGGUAGAUUUCUGUAAGAAAUAAACUUUUAUCUUUUCUUUUAGUUAAAGACAGUUAGGACAUCAAUUUGUAAAAGAUAUGAAUAUUAACAAUGGUGAUAGAACCGCCAAUCCAUAUACUUGUAAAUAGAUUUCCACAUAUAUGUAAAUAGUAUUGCAUAUCGUGUCUAUUUAUAACUUUCUACAUAUUUUAUACAGUUUUAAACCCGCAGCAUCGCGCGGGCACCGUUGUUGUUUCACUAUUAUUUUUCAGUGUUAUUUUGUUGCUGCAUAGUGAAAUGGCCAAAAUGGCCCUGCCUCUUCAAUUUGUCGACCCACCAUUUCUCUAGAUACUUCCCAGUUCCCACAUCGUUUUUCUCACCGGGCUGCUUGCCUCUACUCUCCCCGUCUUCCUCGUCGCCUCAUCUGCUAAAUUCUCUUCGAUUCUACCAACCGCCGCAACCGUUCAGACUUUCCCAAAGGUAAAUUCUUUUCUCUUCCUUACACAAUUUGAUAUUGAUUUUGAAAAUAGUGAAACCCCAUAAAACAAACUGACUUUCUCAACCGAAGAUUACGAUAUAUGUUUCUAAGCCGUUUGCCUUUGGAAGAUUUUCAGAGAAUAGCUUCAAUUGAGUUAGGUUUUCUUCAAUUUAAUCUCAUUAGUUUCAUUCCAAUUCAAUGAUUUUGUGUAACGCUGAGUUUUCUGUCGGAGAAUAAAUUUUCUUCAUGGUUCAUUCAGUUUUGUUUUAUUUUCUGAUUUGGAUUUUGAAAUUGAGACUUCUAGCUUUGCCCUCAUCAAGAAAAUUUUAUUGAUUCCAAUUGAUAAAUGUUACCAAGAUGGGAAGGGGAUCACCAAUUUGAAUUCAGCUCUUCAGGUAUGCAUUCAUUCCAGAUUUAAAACAUCACUUCCGUUUAGUAUGUUGUUUAUCAUUUUUUAUCACUGUCAUGCGGUGUUACUGUCCGUCAUUUUAGUUGUUAAAAUCUGUUUGUUUGAGUUGUACAUAGCGCUCUUAACGUAGAAUUAGUAAAAUGCAGGUGUAGAAUGAACGACUAAUCAAUGUGGGAAAAUGUAUAUAACUGUAACUUAGAAAUCUCCCAUUUUGAUUGCACAUAUGCUCUUGAUGUAAAGUAAAUAAAAUGUAAUGCAACUUAAAGAUUGAUUUUACCAUGUUGGUUUAGCUAUUCUGUUAAUUUUUGAAAUAUUUAGAAAUGAAUGGGUUGAUUUGUGAUUUUAUGGAAUUUUCAGAAGUAUUUAUUUUGUGUAUAAUGACCCUGCGUAAAGCGGGAGCCUUGUGCACUGGGUACGACCUUUUUUUUUUUAUAUGUGUUUGUGAAUGCAGUUAAGUUGUUGGUAGCUUUUGAGAAUCAAUCGAUUAUUUUGUACUGUUUUUCAAACUUUCUCUCUUUUUUUGGGAAAUGACUCAUAUUUGCUAUAAACUAUGAAUUUAAAACCCGCAGCGGAGCGUGGCACUUUUGCUAGUUUUGACCUAGAAGCAAUUGGAAACGGGAAACGUAAUUCCAACUACUUAGUUGAUAACACUGAAUUUGAUCAAGUAGAAAUGUUAUACAAAGCAAACUUAUCGAGCCCCAUUAUUGUAAUACAACAUAACAAAUGCUGAAGCACCAGAAAUCAUAAAAUACAUGCGUUGGCCUUGAAGGCCCCAAACAUUUCUCCAGCCGGUAGACACAUCAAGCUAAGUUCGGCGUCCCCUCGUCGCCCGUGCAGUUGUUGACUUCCUCCUCCUCCUGAAUGUCUCCACAAACCAUUCAUGCUUCUUGUCUGCCAACAUGUUUCCAGCGACCACUCCCACUACUAGUCCGCUAACAACUCCCGGCAAAACUACAUACCAGUCAAACUCAAAUGUAAAUCCAGCCUCUUCAUCUUCUUCAAAGCUUGAUGGUGGCGGCAGCCUCGAGCUUUCAGAACCCUCGCAUUUCUUGGACAAAGGCUUUCCACACAGACCUGAGUUUCCUUGGUAUGAAUCUUCUAGGAAUGUACCAAAUUGUUGGCCAAGUGGUAUUUGCCCCCAAAGGUGGUUAUGCGACACGUUGAAAUACUCAAGGAAAGUGAGUUGUGCCAAGCUACCGGGGAUCCUUCCUGAGAGCUUGUUUUGAGAGAGAUCCAACGAUUCAAGAGCAGUCAAGUUCCCUAGAGAUGAAGGGAUGUGACCAGAGAGAGCGUUGUUGGAGAGGUUUAGCAAAUGAAGUGCUCUUAGACUCCCAAUGAUACUUGCUGGAAUCUCUCCUUCAAAUCUAUUACUUGAGAAAUCUAUGAGUCUCAGAUCAUAGGGGGUCUUAUCAUAUGUCAACUUAACACCUUUUACAGGAAUUAUCAUCGAGUAUGAAAAUUCAUAAGAUCCAUAUUUAUUUGUGUUGUAGUCCGAUGAGACUAGAAAGUAUCGGCUUCCCUUGUUUGCAACAACAUAUUUCAUGAAAUUCCAGUUCUCCAUGUACUUAGAAGGCAACAUACCUGAAAACAGAUUGUUGGAUAAAUCAAUGAUGCACAAGUUUGGGAACUCAUGAUUAGUUGGAGGCUUCCCAAUUAUCCCAUUAAAUGCAUUCGACCGCAAAAUGAGAACCCUCAAUACUGGAAGUACCCCUAACCAAGAAGGGAAGAUGUCACUGAUCUGAUUGUUGCCAAUGUCAAGAAACUCUAACUGGGUGCAAUCGGCCAUUGAUCUUGGUAGCUUCCCCUGUAGCCGAUUGUAACUCAACCCAACCAAUUUCAAACUAUUUCUGUUAGCACAAAAUGGGGGAAUAUCUCCAUGGAAAGAAUUAAACUUCAAUUUCAGUAUCUCCAAGCUACUGGACUUCCCCAAACAUCGUGGAAGCAUGCCUCUCAGGCUGUUGUUGGCCAAAUCAAAAAAUUGAAGAUAAUUCAAGUUGCAGAACAAUGGUGAAACUUCUCCACUAUAAUUAUUGUUGCCGACAUCGUAGGACGUGAUAGAUUGUGGUGGAAUUGGCAAUGACCCUCGUAACCGAUUAUCCCCAAGACUUAAAAGCUGUAGAUUUUUCCAUGGAAGAGUGACUGGAUUUUCCUCAAAGCCUGUUAAGAAGUUCGAAGAGAGGUCGAGAUUGAGCAGAGUUUCUCUAGUUGCAUUCCAGAGCCAUUUUGGUAUUUGGCCAUGAAUAUUGUUACCAGAAAGUUCUAAGGCUCCCAAUUCGUAUUGAUUUUUCAAAAAUUCUGGAAACUCUGUCAAGUUGCAGUCAUCCAACUCUAGAACUUCGAACUUUGGAAGAGUAGCACUCGAACCAGAUUUGACACGCACGGAUAACUUGUUGCACGCUAAACCAAGUACCUUCAACUUUUUGAGGUUGGAAAACUCAUCAAACUCAACUAAUCCACUCAAAUUAUUAUAGGAAAGGCCAAGACGUUCAAGAUUUCUGAGGUGGAAAAGCGAUUUAGGAAUUGCUCCUUGCAAAUCGUUGCGGGUGAGCCGCAGAAAAGUUAAUUGGGUCAACUCUAAUGCGAGCCAAGAUGGGAUUUCACCAGUUAUUGAAUUGUUAAGCAAGUCUAGAAACACAAGUUGGGUGAGGUUAGCCACAAAACGUGGGAAAUUCCCCUGUAAGUUAAUAUUCGAAAGACCCAAGUAGUUGAGCUUGGUUAAUUUUCCAAAACAAGACAAGGAAUCAGGAACUAAGAAUUGGCCUGCGGAAACGUCAUGAAAUAAAGCCAUCUUAAGGAAACUGAGCUGGGUAAGGUUUCCAAAUGAAGAUGGAACAUGGGAAUCAAAACCACAGUAUGAGAUAUCAAAGUAAUUUAAGGAAUGAAGGUUUCCGAUAGAACUAGGAAGUUUACCAGAGAAAUUUGUCUCUGAAACAUCUAAUGUUUUGAAGGAAUUGGUCCUGUUAAAAGUAGGAAAAUAACCAUUUAGGUCUGUGUUCGAGUACAAUCUAAGCUCCUCUAAAUUUGGUAGGUGGAAAAUGCCUACUGGGAAUUCCCCAUACAACCCACAAGAGCUUAGAUUGAGAGAUGUGAGAGAAGAUGCGUUGACCAAGAUAUCAGGCACAGUGGAGUAUAUGCCUACAUCACUAAGAUGAAGUUGUUUUAUGCUGGUCAAGUUUUGGACUAGGAUUCUUAUGUUGGACUUCCUAAGCUCCAAACCAUGAUUGUAAGACAGAACAAGGGUAGACAGUUUGGAUAGCUUUGAAAUUUCAGAUGGAAUUUGGCCAGAAAAUGCAGACCUUGAAAGGUUGAGAUAGGAUAGACUCGAAAGGUCAUGGCCCAAUCUCGAUGGUAUUUCAGAGGAAUUGAAGUUGUUAUCUGAGAGGUCAAGCUUCUGCAAGUGAACAAGUCGGAAGAGGGUGCUGUUGGAAUUGAUAGAACCAUAGAGACAGCUGCUCUUGAGGUCAAGGCCAAUGACACGGCCAGACUCCGCAUGGCACUCAACACCAUCCCACGAACAACAGUUACUUUGAUUUUGAUCUCCUUCUCGAGCCCAAGAUGCUACCUUCGGAUAAGCAAAAUGAGAUCUAGAAGCUGACUUGUCUACCAUAAAGCUUUCCUUGAAUUGUAACAAGAAGGAAUGCUCGUCAGCGUGGCACAGUGUCCGUGUCUGAGUCUGCACAAAUGAAAAACAGUGAGUAGCAUUGAGUAAUAGCAGAAGAAGACAAUGCAAACAGGUAAACUUGGACAACAAAGAAUCCAUUUUCAUGGCAGUGUGUUUUUUCUGGUUAUAGGAAAUAUUGUUUUAUGGCUCUCGGAUAAUUAAGAGUGGAGAAGUUAACUCCUUUUAUAGACACAACUCAUGCAAAACAUAAAUAAAUAAAAAGUAUGAGUCGAUCGAUGUGUGGGUGGUGAAUUGAUGUCUCGAUCAAUUGAAGACUUAAAGCUAACCAUGCAUUCAAAGUGACAUGCCGACAAAUCGAUGGUAGUCUUUCGAAGCUAACUAAUAUCCUAUUCAGCAGUUACACAUAUUUUUGGGUGCGCACAAUAUUAAUUAUAGGAUAAAUUAUAUUUUAUAUGAGUGCAAUUUCAACCUCAUACAAUAUCUUUAAAACAUUUCAAUCUCAUACAUAAACUUAUAUUUUGUUGUAAUUUCAUACGUUCGUUAAUUAAACAGUUCAUUUGACCGUUAAAUUAUGACGUGGCAAAUGCAUGACCCACAUAUUUGAUGACAUGGCAUAUAAAAAAUAAUUAAUUAUAAAAAAACAAUUUAAACAAAUAAUUAAAUUAAAAGAAAAUAAAAAAGAGGCCCACCCCUCUUCUCCCAUACGAGCAAAGGACCUCCAUCUCUAUCUCCUUCUUUCUCCAGCACCACCACCCAUCCCAUACAACCUCCAUGUCAAUCCCCCCCUUCCCAAUCCCUAAACCCCAUUCCCAAAUUUUCUAAAUUUCUUCUGAUUCUUCGUCUUCCCCAAAUCUCCUAAUAUAUUUCCUCAGUUUUCGCUCUCAAUCCGAAAAAAAAAACCCAGAAAAUUUCCUGGAUCGGAAGCUGAGUUUGCGUCUGAAUUAGCUUCCUUUUUCGACUGGCUUAUGAGGAGGGGUCGAGAUCGACAGCUCUCUGUGCUCCUGCCCUUAGUCUUAGGUGUAGCCGCCUCCGCCGCAACACGACCGGAAGACCCAGAUGGAGAAAAUCCGGAAAGACGAAACCCGCGGGAAGGAAUCGUCCCCAUCAACGCGUGGUGGUGAACGAAGGGCAUUCGGACCUGGACUUGCUGCUGCAGGGGCUAGGUGGCAAGGAUAGUCAGCCGCCGGUGUCGAAGGCGUCAAUCCACGCCAUGCCGUGUGUCAAGAUUUGGGAAUCAUAUUUGGAUUCAAAUAGGUUGUGUAAAUUUCAACUUUGAUGAUGGUGAUGCAAAAAGGGUGAUGCAGAAAGAAGGGGAUGGCUGGUUGUGUUGCAGAAAGAAGGAGAUGAAGAUAGAACAUUUGUUCGGGUGGGAGAAGAGGGGUGGGCCCCAUUUUUAUUUUGUUUUAAUUUAAAUUUUCAUUAAAUUGUUUUUUAUAAUUAAUUAUUUUUAUAUGCCACAUCAUCAAAUAUGUGGAUCAUGCAUUUGUUACGUCGUUAAAUUAAUAGUUCAAUUAACGGAUUGUAUGAAAUUACAACAAAAUAUAAGUUUAUGUAUGUGAUUGAAAUGUUUUAAAAAUAUUGUAUAAGGUUGUAAUUGCCCCCAAACCUAAAGGGGUAAAAUGUAAUUUACCCUUAAUUAUAUAUUGUAGGAUGUAACAUGAUUAAUUUUAUAGAAAACUAGAUUUUAAUCCUUAAAAAAGAUAAAGUUUAGAAAAAUAUCUUAUACAAGAUUAAAAUUUGAUUUUAGUCUUUAGACUCUAUUUAAGUAUCUUAUAUAAGAAAAUAUUUUCGUAGAUAUUUUUCGGUACACUUAUGUUUUUUCAUAUUUUCUUAUGUGCCACUAAUUCAUUACAAUAUAUUUAGGUAUGAAUAUUUCGGGUACACUUAUAUUUUUUCAUAUUUUCUUAUGUGCCAUUAAUUCAUUACAAUAUAUUUAGGUAUGAACAUUUCGGUACACUAGGUUAGUAUAAUAUGUUUAGGUACGGACAUUUCGGUACACUAGUUUAGUAUAAUAUAUUUAGGUACCAACAUUUCUGUAUAUUAGUUUAGCAUCACAUAUUUAGGUAUGAAAUUUUUCGAUACACUUAUGUUUUUGCAUAUCUUCUUAUGUGCCACAAAUUCACUACAAUAUAUAUAGGUACAGACAUUUCAGUACACUAAUUUAGUAAAAUAUAUUAUGAUACGAACGUUUAGGUACACUAAUUAGAGGAAGUAAAAUAAAAUUAAUGAAUUAAAAUAUGUAUAAUAAUAAAUUUUAAUUUUAAUGUAAUGACAUUAAAUAAGAUAUCUAUUAAAUAUUAAAAAAAAUGUAAUAUGAAUUUGAAUUAAGUAUACAUUAGAGAACUACAAUCAAUAUCCAAUCCAACACCAGAUUUUUAUUGAAUUUUAAUCUUCUUCAAGGAUUAAAGUUCAAAAACCCCUUAAUUUUAAUGUCGUAAGAUUAUUGAUUACUAUGCGGUAGUACCAAAUUUUUCUGAAGUGAUGAAUCAUCAUUUUAUAGACUUCAUCGUACCUUUUCGCGAGAGUUGUGAGACUUCUCUGAAUGGUCAUAUCCAUUCAAGGAAUGACACAUCAUUUAUAGAAGGGUAUAACCUUUAUCAGUGGCAGAUCCAGGAUUUCAGUGUCUAGUUGUCCCAAUUUUAAAGCUCAAAAAUAGAAAGACCAAAAUAACAUUGAAAAUAUAAAUGACAAAAUCAAUACCAUUUACCCGUGUACUAAAAUAAAAAAAUAAGUACAACUACAUAGCGUAUAACUCAUGUAGUUAAUGUGAGACUAUCAAGACCCUUGUCAUUAAUACAUUGAUAAACAUUGUGUUGAUCACUUGAGUAACAAGUUCUCACAAUAUGAACUAAUAAAUAAAUCAUGCACCCCAAAAAUAACUUGCAUAACUAAAUCCUAAUUACGGUUUUGGGAUCAAAGAGAACAAUGGAAGACGUUCGCAAACCUAAAGGCUAAAAGUUAUUCAAUUUGAAAAUCUUUUAACCAUUCAUAUACAUAAAACAAAUAAACAGUUCAUCAUGAUUAUGCAACUUGUUACUAAAAACGUUGAUUGGCUUGACAUGAAUGAAUGACUAAAAGAUCUCUGAAUUGAAGGAUUUUUGCAGAUAUGAUUAUGAUAAAGAGAAUAAACAGUUUUGAUAUGAUGUUCAUACAGUGAAAAUACGUUAAUCGUAAGUGAGGGGACAAACAUUAUCCAAAAAAGUGUAUGAUAGUACUUGUACUCCCCGGGAGAUGAGCACAUUCUCCCACUUACAAAUAAAGUAUCUUAACCGUAGAAAUUUCAUAAUCAAAAUCGUUCAAUUUCUUAAUCUUCAUUUAAAAAUCAUCCCUAUAAAUAUCAUUCGAAUUAGAUAUUGUUUAAUCAUCUAAAUGUAACAAAUAAAUCAAUAGUUUAUCAUAAAUAUGUUAGUUGGUACUUACACCGUUAAUUUGUUUGAUACAUUUGGAUCUAAAUGACCUCUGAUUCAAAUGAUUUUCUUGUGGAGAUGAUUUUCAAAUAAAUCUUACAAAAUUGAAAUGUUCCAUUUAUAAAAAGAAAAACUAAUGAAAAGAGUUUGAAAACUUUGAGUUUUAAUGAUAAAAACAAAAUAAAGGGUAAAGUGAAUAGUACCAGAUUUGACUUUUUAGUGUAAAAAUGUGAUUUUUCAUUAAAAUGAAUAGUACCGCAGACUUUUCGUUAAAACUCCCUUUAUAAAAUUUAUGCUAUAAAGAUUCACUAUUUGUAAAUGGAGAAAUAAGCUCAUUCCAAAAAGUGAACACAAGUAUUAUUCUUCACAAAACAUAUGCAAACAAAAUAUGGGGAUGAGUGAUGAGCCAUUGAGUGGUGACAAAAAGAAAUGAAAGAGAAAACCAAACAAGGAGACAAUGAAGUCAAUAAAAUGCCGAUCUCGAUCACUCGAAGACUUGGAAGUCAUAUGAGUCGUUUGCAAGUAAACAUCUCUAGCUAACCUACAAGUCUACCAUUAAUGUUGUUGUUACUUAUUGGCAUUGGGUAUCAUGCAAUUGUCUCAGUUGAAGUCAAGCUAUUAAGGACAAAUUUGCCUUGUCCCACGUGAUAAGGUAUCGCUAAUUAGUAAUUACCACUCAUGUUCUUGUCAUGAUAAAUACUAAAAGUGACAUUAAGAAAAAAUAGAAAUUGCAUUUAUAAUUCAGUAAUACAAAAGACCAACACAAGGGUUACAUCAAUAGCAUCUUAAACAUGUAGAGUUCCUUUGGUGUAUCCAAAUUUUCGUCAACUUAAAUCACUUGACACACUUUAGAGUGUAAUACCGUUAUUUUCUUGCCUACAAACCCUUAACAUUUCAUAUAGGUUGCGAAUAUAACGUCUAAUUUAAUCUCUAAACUUAACUUACACUAUUUCUUAUGAAAAACUACUAAUUUACCUCCAAAGACACUAUUUCUUUAUGAAAAACUAUCAAUCUACCCUUCAAUGUGUAUUACAUGCAAGUACCCUGACUUAAACUAACGGAAAAUUGAAUAUAGUAGCUUUGACUAUAAUAUUCAAUUUCCAUACACUAGCCUUCAUGCACGCGCUCAAGCGCGUGCAGAAGACAUUUUUUGAAUCACGGCAUGCUACACGUGACUUACACGCUUUAAUUGUAUUUAUAUGCGUAAAUUGACAAAAGAAAAGUCAAAUAUUUGAAGUAAAUGAAUAAUCUUAUAUCAUGCUCAAAGAAACCCCUCAUAAAUCAAUAAAGCAGCUGAAUUCACAUAAUAAAAUCAGUCUCUAUUGAAUUUAUAUUAAGAAUAGAGAAAAUAAUAUUUAAUAAACAACUGAUUGAAUCAUAUUAUUGCUAGCCCAUUGUGAGGCUAAGCCCACCCUCUCUCCCUUAGUGUAAAUAAUAUCGUUUGUUCAAAAAAAAAACAAAAAACAAAUAAACAACUGAUUGAAUCACAUUAUUGCUAGCCCAUUGUGAGGCUAAGCCCACCAUCCUCCCCUUUAGUGUGGAUAAUAUCAUUUGUUCACAAAAAAAAAAAAAUCAUUUGACAACUAAUUUAAUCACAUUAUUAUCUGCGUGCGAAAGACCUUUUUUAUAACCGGCAUUACAACCUCUUAAGAUGAAAAUUGCAUUAUUCCAACUUGGAACCUGCCACUCAUGUUCCUUAAAGACUUAAAAAGUAAACCGUAUGAUUUUUCCUCUAUUUUAGGUCAUGUGUCAACGAGUACCCCACUAUUUAGACAACCCUUUUUCUAAUUAUUACAUUUUUUUGUUAAUUUUAAAUGAAUGUCUCACUCCAUAACUUCAAGACCGUUCUUCAAAUCAACGUAACACAUCAAUCAGGAUCCUCAUAUAUAUAAAUAGUUGAUUUUUCAAACUUGUUGAAAUUUGAUUAGUUCAACUUUCUCACCUUUUGAAAUUUCUAUGGAAGAAUAAUCCUCCGGAUGCCAAAAAAUCUUUUGGUAUAGCCAACUGAUAUGACAGCCUUCAUUCCAAACUUAUAUUGUAUGCGUGUUGACUGUUGGGUAUCCCAGAUCCAUGAAGUUUCUUGAUUCACCAAGCACCCACGCACGUCCAACUACAACCAAACUAUAGUGUUUAGUUUAUGAUUCACUAGCCUUCAUGCAUGUGUGUGAGUGUUUAGUUUAUGAUUCACUAACCUUCAUGCACGCGCUCACGCACGUGCAGAAAGCAUUUUUUGAAUCACGGCAUGCUACGCGUGACUUACACGUUUUAAAUGUAUUUAUAUGCGUAAAUUGACAAAAGAAAAGUCAAAUAUUUGAAGUAAAUGAAUAAUCUUAGAUCAUGCUAGAAGAAACCACUCAUAAAUCAAUUAAAGCAGCUGAAUCCACAUAAUAAAAUCGGUCUCUAUUGAAUUUAUAUUAAGAAUAGAGAAAAUAAUAUUUAAUAAACAACUGAGUGAAUCACAUUAUUGCUAGUCCAUUGUGAGGCUAAGCCCACCCCUCCCCCUUAGUGUAGAUAAUAUCGUUUGUUCAAAAAUAAAAAAAUAAAUAAACAAAUAUUGAAUCGCAUUAUUGUUAGCUCAUUGUGAGGCUAAACACACCCCCCCCUCUCCCUUAGUGUGGAUAAUAUCAUUUGUUCACAAAAAAAAAACAAUCAUUUGACAACUAAUUUAAUCACAUUAUUAUCCGCGUGCGAAAUACUUUUUUUUUAUAACUGGCAUUACAACCUCUUAAGAUGAAAAUUGCAUUAUUCCAACUUGGAACCUGCCACUCUUGUUCCUUAAAGACUUAAAAAGUAAACUGUAUGAUUUUUCCUCUAUUUUAGGUCAUGUGUCAACGAGUACCCCACUAUUUAGACAACCCUUUUUCUAAUUAUUACAUUUUUUUUGUUAAUUUUAAAUGAAUGUCUCACUCCACAACUUCAAGACCGUUCUUCAAAUCAACGUAACACAUCAAUCAUGAUCCUCCUAUAUAUAAAUAGUUGAUUUUUCAAACUUGUUGAAAUUUGAUUAGUUCAACUUUCUCAUCUUUUGAAAUUUCUAUGGAAGAAUAAUCCUCCGGAUGCCAAAAAAUCUUUUGGUAUAGCCAACCGAUACGACAGUUUUCAUUCCUAACUUAUAUUGUAUGCGUGUUGACUGUUGGGUAUCCCAUAUCCAUGAAGUUUCUUGAUUCACCAAGCACCCAUGCACUUCCAACUACAACCAAACUAUUGUGUUUAGUUUAUGAUUCACUAGCCUUCAUGCACGCGCUCAUGCACGUGCAGAAGACAUUUUUUGAAUCAUGACAUGCUACGCGUGACUAACACGUUUUAAAUGUAUUUAUAUGCGUAAAUUGACAAAAGAAAAGUCAAAUAUUUGAAGUAAAUGAAUAUAACAAACACAAAAGAAGAUCAAUGACCAACAUGUGACUUUUUGGAUGGAAUUUGGGUAAAUUUGAAGCUAGGGAGAAAUUAUCUAUUCUGCUGCUUGUGAGUUGUGAGAAGAAGAUAGAACGACAUGGGCUUGCGGGUUGCUAGUGUUUUUGCCUUGGCGCCUUGUCUCGCACGUGUGAGUGUGUGGAUUGUUUUGUUUUGUUUUGUUUUUUUUUUUUUUUUUUUUUUGAAGAAAAUAGUUUUAAAUUUUAUAGACUUAAAAACGUAGCAUGUUAGAUUGUCUGGUAAGAGAAAAUGUUUUUUUUUUGCGGAUACAUAACAUAUUAUAUGUUGUCAAGCUAUGAAUUAGACAUCACCUAAUUAAUAAUUUAGAUUGACAGUCUGACAACAUAACAUGUUAGAUUAUGUAGCAAUAGACCAUUUCUUAUAGGGUAUAAAAAAAAAUGUUAGUUGUCAAGUUACGUUGAGACAUCACUUUCUGUUCAUUAAUUCGAAUUGACAAUUUGACGAUAUAAUAUAUCAAAUUAUUUAAUACCACACUUUUUCUCGACAAAUCAUCAUGAUGUGUUUCAAGUUUAACCCUACUUUCUUGUCUCUUUUUUUGUCAAAAUGCAAUCAUGUGGCUUAGCAAGAAAAGUUCCAUCAACUUGAUCAUUCCAUUGAUGACAACAUGAACUUCCGCAAAAUAAGUUGAAUCCUAAGUUAGUUGUCUUGGUAGAACACAUCCAACACCAAAAUAAAUGUUUUCCACGUUUUGGUUUUUUUUGACAAAAAUAAACUCAAAUGCUUUGAUUUACAGGGAGGAGGAUAUGAACUUGGGCACAAGGGGGAUGAGGCGGGAACAUUGUUUUGGUCAACUGGCUCAACUCACGAAAUGCAAAUGUUUCACAUUAUUAACAUUGUACAUUUUGGGUUGAAAUAUAUAAAUAACUAAAUCAUACAUGAAAAUAAAAAUAAAAUAUUAUGAAUAUUAAACAUCGAUCCAUAUCAAUUCAUUAUUCAAGUGAAUAGUAAUUGCCUGAAUCCACUCGUAAAGCCCGAUUCCACUCCUAAAACCACAAAAAUAGGUGGAAAUACUCUCUAGCAAUGAAGAUAAACUUACUUGGGAGGAAAUUCCCCUAGUGAAAAUUAUAGUCAAAUGUUGCUACUUCAAAUGAAAGAUGUAAAAACGAUUUUUGUACAACUAUUGUCCUGUGGCAUGCCACGUCAUCAAUUAACUAUCCCUGACAGAAUGGCUAACGAAAGUACAAAAGUGUCACAACAUUCAAGCUUUAGGUAUGAAAACGAAAAAAAAAUUAGGUAUGAAAGUUGAAAUUUCCCGAUACUUGAGAUAGUAAAGAUAGAAUAACCCAUAAAAUAAAAUACAAGAGCUGCAAUAGGUAAUAAAAAUAGAGUUGCUCCAUUAAAACAGAAAACCAAAUUCCAUACAUUGAAGUUCAUAAGAUAGAGAAGAAAAGACCCACAAUCAAAUUUGCACGACCAACUCAGCACUGUCUUUUCUACUUAGCCUAAUUAACAUUUCAAAAUACAGUCCAUCACAACAACGAAAUUCAAGUCGAACACGAGGCCCCCUACUACUUUGCCAUCGCCAAGAGAAACAAGGACAAAACGGCACCUUUCUUGUCCAAGUACAACAUGUAGACGUUUUUGAUGUUUUCAAUGCCAUCAUCGCACGAUAUCACUCUAUCACCGAAGUACUCUUUCCUGAGAUCCAGCAGCUUAGCCAUUUCCAGUGCAUAGGCUCAUAUAGGCCUUGGGUAAAAGUACAUCUCGAACGAUACACUGGAUAUAAGUAAUUGGGGAAAAACAUAAGAGCACGCACAUGCAUGUACACAAGAUAAGGUACUGAAUCAGCAUGAAUAAAAUCUAAACAAUCUCAUUUUCCGUCAGAAGCACGCUACUAAAAUGAGAAAAACAGAAGUGAUAAACUGAUUAAAACUAGUUAUAAUCAUGUAGAACUGGAGGGAACAAACAACACCUCCCAAAGGAGGGUGCAUACCAUGAAAAUUUAAACACUAAUCAUGUUAUAAAAACAAAAACACGUGAAGGAAAAGCAUAACAUACCUUCCAGAGUCUCUGUCUGGCUCUAUGGCCAGAGGCUGGUCGCCUCCCUUGACAGAAACAAGACUUUCUGCAUAAAGAACAGCUUGAAUAUAUAGUGGGUUUUCAAUGCCAUGUAUAGGAAGGUAUUUGAGGUUUCGAGUGCGUAGGUUAUAGGAGACAACGUCUCCAUCAGUGGCCGCCAGAAGAAGCUCGUCAUUCUUCCAAAAUAUCAAUGGAAUCUCAAUCCUUGGUACAGAUUCGAUUGUUAAGCGUCUCUUACUCCAUGGACUUUUUACCCCAUCACUAGAGUCAUCCAUCACCCAUAUAUCAAAGAUAGAAAGUCCAGUUCCUUCAUCUUUGCGGUAGCAGAACAAAGCAAUGGAUUCCUUCCAUAAUGCAAGACUGCAAUUCCAUGCAAAUCUUUCCAGAGAAUCAUACGGAACUGGUAUCUUAUCAAAUACCUCCUCACCCAUAUCAAAUGUAAGGAUGAAAUCAUUAUUUUGUAGAUCAGUAGCAAACCAAUGAUAAACACCCUUGAAGUAGACAUAAAAAGAAGGUGUCCAGAUGACAGAAAAAUCGAUCUCAAACUUGACCUCUCUCCAAGAAUCAACACCUAAAGUGUAUACCUCUGCUAUUCUAGGCCCCGGCAAAAAUUUCACAAUUCUAACAACCUUGUAUGCUUUAGCUUUGGAAUCAUACCCAAAUCCAACGGCAUUGGUAAUGGUAUCCACUCUAUCAGCAACAUCUGGCUCUGGGGGAGGCAGGAGAAGACAAGGCUGGGGAAGAAGCUGAAAUUCCAUGAUCGCUGGAUUGACUAAACCAAUAUCCUCGGGACAAAAGUGAAUACUUAGACAGAAAAUCCCAUCACAGUAACCCAGAAUUUCAAAAUUUGGAGAAGAUACACUCAACAAAGGAUACGCAACACUAAGAUCCUCAACACAGUCAUCACUAUCGCUAAAAUCCUCUGAAACAUUAAGCAAUGACAAUAAAACGUGCUUCCUAUGAUCCCUCAGAUUUUUAACAGUAUGUUUUACAACAAUGCUGGUGGAGGAAUCUGAUUUCGAAUUCGAGUUAGAAAGGUGACUCGCCACAAAGCUAGGACUAUCAAUUAGAUCACACCACAACUUACGGACACAUUUGAAUCGCAUCAAGGAUUUAGGUGGCAAUCGAGACAGGAUUUGCACCACCAUAUCAUCCGUAAAAUUACACGACUUUGCCAUUAACUAAUUAAUUAAUUUCUCCUCCUCUACUUUUCCUUUUAUGCUUUUCAGCAAAUUAAAUAAGGCGGCAGAAUGAUGGAGCAAGAUCAAGGGGACAUCUUACCUUGGAUUUCCGAUCGUGCUGAGUCCAAGAGCAGGAAUUUAUUAAACUUCAAAAUCCACUCAAAUUCCUCAUCGGAGUGACUGAGAUUCCUUCAUUUCCAAACACUCAUUGUUUCUUCCUUCCACUCGGCUCUGAACUCUCUGUUAUAGUCAAUGCUCAGUCAUACUGAUAUUUCUCUCUAGGGUUUCUUCUUCUUCUUUUGCUGCUGUUUGAUGAUGGAACGGGCUCAGGGCCCCCUUUGGACUUUUGUAAGCUAAAAAGGAAAAAAUAUAUUGUCCAAAUGUGGGUGUCAUUUAUUAUCUGUCUCGAGAACAUACUUUACGUUACACGUUACAUCAAGAGAGAAGUGCACAAUAACCCAUAUAUAUAUAUAUAUUGGUGCAGCUCUCUAUUCAUUCAGAAGCUGCAAUCUGUAAUGGAAAGAGAUCAAGAGUUUGCGUUGUUGAGCAAAUUUGACACCGUAUUCUAUAUACAAGCUCAAAGUAGCCACUCAUCAGCAUCCUAAUUUUGAGACAACAUAAAAAAUUCAUAUGAUCACCUAUCAAAUUUGCCCCACCUAGUCAGAAAUCAUAUUGCUAUUUAGCCUAACGAAAAAUUCAAAAGUUAGUACACAUCGAAAACGACAUUCACUACUUUUAUUUAUGAGACAAUGAUGCCCUAUUAAAUGGCGGCUCAGUUUACUCUCGAGGAUUGCUGAUUAAGUAAGCUCGAGAGGAACAGGUCUAAACUAGACGAGAGGAGUAAACUAUUCAAACUAUGCACAACAAGGAUAUGGUUAGUGCUUACAAGGAACUUUCUCUUCAGGUUGCUUUCGGUUGCACAACUCCGACGGCAGAUUAUAUACUUCAUGGCUUAGUGUUUGGAUCUUCCCCCGGGCUUGGCAAUGACCAAAGUGGAUGGUCAGAAGGGCAAGUCUUGUGAAGUUGCCAUUGCUCCACUGGCCCUGCCUUGACCUCUUCCUCUUGUCACAGUUUGCGAAGACGAUGGCAAUGCAGCAGAUCGCUGAGUGAACUCCAUUCGCCUUGAUCAGGGCAUGGCCCAACUACCUCUUCCUCUUCCUCCUCGCACCUAAACCCUAAAAGCAAUAUCAAACUAAGCCUUAAGUUAACAAAGUAAAUUAUGCAUGUAAAUUAUGCAUGCACUUGGUGCGAUGGCAAGUGCCUUCGCCCAUGAGCGGUAGGUCUCGGGUUCGAGACUUGGGAGAAGCCUCUCCAUAAAUGGGGUAAGGCUAGCCGACAUUCACCUCUCCCAGACCCUGCGUAAAACGGGAGCCUUGUGCACUGGUACGACUGCUCGAGAAGAGGAUGCAAAUUGAGUUUCAUCGCCUUUGCCUGCGACUCUCCCAUUUCCUCUGCCCAUUGGUCUAACUCUUCCUCUACCUCUUCCCCUGAAUGAACAAGAAACGCUCGCUCGCUCUAAAUUUGGGUUGUGAUAAUGAAAUAAAUGAAACAAUAUGAAAGUGUACUGUAUCACUAAAGAAAUGACACCCAAAACGUCCUCCUUAUCAUCCUCCUCGCCACCAACUAUAUGCCUGACGGCGAUGCGGGCGGAGGACCUCGAAUUAUUCGAAUUCGAGAGGUGGCUGGCCACAAAGCGACUAUCAAUCAGAUCACGCCAGGACUCGUGGACGCAUUUGAACCGCAUCAGGGGAUUUAGGUGGCAACCUUGACAGGAUUUGCGCCACCAUAUCAUCCGACAAUUUGCAGGAAUUUGCCAUUAAUUAACUUGUCCUCCUUCUCUUCCUCCAUCUCUACUUUCCUUUAAUCUUGAGCAAAACAAACUGGAACGAUGAUCACUGAAACUGUUACCUUGAUUUUCCGAUAGCGUCGACAGCGUCGAGACCAGGAGGACCCGCUCAAAUUCCUCUCCGCUACGCGAGCGACUGGGAAUCCUUCGUUUCCGAGCACUCCUCAGCUUCUUCCCUUCGUCCUUUCCGGUUGGCUCUGACGACUGUAGUCUCUGUGUUUUAGUCAACGCCAGUCAACGCGUACUGACACUGACAAUGCUCUGUAGGGUUUCUCUUCGUUUCCAAACACUGGUCUUUCUGGUUUGUGUAAACUGGUUCGGGCCCAUUUUGGGUCGAGCAUUUGGGCUUUUACCAUUUUGGAACGUGUUUUUUCUUUUUUGGUCCAUCUCAAUAAUAUUCUGCUUCAGUGCUUUCCGAAUAGUUAAAAGCCCUCCAAAAAAUUUAAAGUGCUUCUUACAAUAUUUAGCGAAGAAAUAUUGUGUGUUUGCAGAUUAUGAAUAUUAAUUUUUUUCUCGAAAGUAGCAGAUAUUGAGUGUUUUCUUAAAGAAGCACAGGUUGAGUGCCUCGAAACAUGCAUUUGGAUUUUAAUUGACACACUUGCACUAAAAGCACUUCUAUUGAUUAAGAGAAGAUGUAAUUUCGAGUGAAGCAUCUAAGGGGCCCUUCAAGUUGAGAACUUCUAUAACACGAGUACAAUGUUAUUGUAGCGUGCCUACAUUUGAAGUUCUUCUGCAAACUAUAUCAGCCUGCAUAAGUAUUCCAAAGUUAAACGCGUGCAUUUGAAGUUCUGCAAACUAUAUCAACAUGCGGAAGUACUCCAAAGUUAAGCACAUACAUUUGAAGUUUUGCAAACUAUAUCAGCAUGCAGAAGUACUCUAAAGUUAAAGGCGUGCAUUUGAAGUUCUUCUGCAAGUUAUAUCAACCUGCGGAAGUAAGUCUUUUUAACUUUGGUUUCAUGAUUAUAUCCAUACAUUUUGAAUGCAAAGAAUAUCAUAUAUGUAACAUAAAAAAAUAUCAUACAUCCAUUAAGAAGCCCGGUGAGUAGGUCGUCAAAACAUUAUUCCACAUAGAGAGAAAUAAAUAAAGCAAUUAAAAGAGCUGCAAUCAUCAAGCAAAUUUGACACUUGAUGCAUCCAAAACAUCUUCUCCUUUGUCAUAAAUCUGCAACCAUAUCCUACAUACAAGUUCGGUAUCCUACUUCCGAGACAAACAUCAAAAAUUCAAUCCGCUAUCAAAUUUUCCUUCACUUAGUCAGCAAUCGUCUUCUGUUUAAAAAUAAUGAACGAUUCAAAAUUAAGUUCCACCUCAAAUACGAGACCAGUGGUGUAAGGACAACACUGAAUGAAACGAGAGGAGUGAUUAGUAUCUCAAACUAUGCACAAAACGGAUGAAGUUAGUGCUGCUGCAAGAACAGAUCUUGUGGCUUUCAUUUGCUUGACUGGGAACUUCUCUUCAGCUUGCUUUUGCCACAUAUAGUUUGCAGCUUCAAUCCACUGUUUAUUAACUAAAAACUUCUUUUCUUUGACCGCCCAUUUAGACUUCUCCGUGCCAGCAUCUCCUGAAACCGCAUGUGUCACCAAUGGGUCCACUUGUGUCGAACAAGAGGCUCCCAACUGCUCUGCCAUCUUAUAGAGAGGUUGAUUCUCAGCAUCGACAUUCGAAGGAAAUUCGUGGCUGAAAACAAUUUUACACCCCUUUAACACAUCCUUCUUAACAGUUUUCAACACCUACAAAAAUAGCAUCCAGAAGAAUCCAUAUUAAAUAUAUGAAGCUAAAGGAAGUAGUCAUGUUUUAGUGGUUCUGAAAAAAACUUGUUCACCUGUCUCACAUCUCUUUCAACAAGAUUAUCCUCCAAUUCCUUCAAGAUGGCCACCAACAAUAGAUUAGCACACAAAGAAAGUGUAACUUUUUGCCAUCAUGGAGACAUAAAGUGGUACUUACACAUGGUUCAUCCUAAUGCUAUAUAAGUUAGGAUACUGAUUUGUUUCCUCAUUUCUUCAUUGGUGAUUCGUAUUUUCGAUGAUUUUAAGAAUGGGUAAUAAGUUUUUGUUAAGAGUUAAUGUGUUCAGUUUCAUUUUUUUUAGUUUCUGUUCUAUAAGGUUUUGUGUCUUGUGAUUGGAGUGUCAUGUGGUUAGAGGUUCUAAAAGACAAACAUGACUUUUUUUAUUUGGUCAGAGGAGGGGGGAGCAAGUUCUGUUCAAAAUUUGGGUUUUCCGAUGGCUUGAAAGAUAUUAUAUCACUAUUGCUAUUACAAGUGUCCAGUUUGCAGAAAUGACAAGGCAUGCUACAAUCUAUGCUUCUUUGGUAGAUUUGAUUCAAAUUGGUAGAUUUCUGUAAGAAAUAAACUUUUAUCUUUUCUUUUAGUUAAAGACAGUUAGGACAUCAAUUUGUAAAAGAUAUGAAUAUUAACAAUGGUGAUGGAACCCCCAAUCCAUAUAGUUGUAAAUAGAUUUCCACAUAUAUGUAAAUAGUAUUGCAUAUCGUGUCUAUUUAUAACUUUCUACAUAUUUUAUAUAGUUUUAAAGCCGUAGCAUCGCGCGGGCACCGUUGCUAGUUAUCUAUACUAAAGCUCAAUAAAAUAAAAACACUGUUCUUAAGUACAGUGAAAGGACAGAAAAGCCCCUGUUUCACUAUUAUUUUUCAGUGUUAUUUUUUUUAUGCAUAGUGAAAUGGCCAAAAUGGCCCUGCCCCUUCAAUUUGUCGACCCACCGUUUCUCUAGAUACUUCCCAGUUCCCACAUUGUUUUUCCCACCGUGCUGCUUGCCUCUACUCUCCCCUUCUUCCUCGUCUCCUCAUCUGCUAAAUUCUCUUCGAUUCUACCAACCGCCGCAACCGUUCAGACUUUCCCAAAGGUAAAUUCUUUUCUCUUCCUUACACAAUUUGAUUUUGAUUUUGAAAAUAGUGAAACCCCCAUAAAACAAACUGACUUUCUCAACCGAAGAUUAUGAUAUAUGUUUCUAAGCGGUUUGCCUUCAGAAGAUUUUCAGAGAAUAGCUUCAAUUGAGUUAGGUUUUGAUCAAUUUAAUCUCAUUAGUUUCAUUCCAAUUCAAUGAUUUUGUGUAACGCUGAGUUUUCUGUUGGAGAAUAAAUUUUCUUCAUAGUUCAUUCAAUUUUGUUUUAUUUUCUGAUUUGGAUUUUGAAAUUGAGACUCCUAGUUUUGCCCUCAUCAAGAAAAUUUUAUUGAUUCCAAUUGAUAAAUGUUACCAGGAUGGGAAGGGGAUCACCAAUUUGAAUUCAGCUCUUCAGGUAUGCAUUCAUUCCAGAUUUAAAACAUCACUUCCGUUUAGUAUGUUGUUUAUCAUUUUUUUAUCACAGCACCGUCAUGCGGUGUUACUGUCCGUCCUUUUAGUUGUUAAAAUCUGUUUGUUUGAGUUGUACAUAGAACUCUUAACGUAGAAUUAGUAAAAUGCAGGUGCAGAAUGAACGACUAAUCAAUGUGGGAAAAUGUAUAUAAUUGUAACUUAGAAAUCUCCCAUUUUGAUUGCACAUAUGCUCUUGAUGUAAAGUAAAUAAAAUGUAAUGUAACUUAAAGAUUGAUUUUACCAUGUUGGUUUAGCUGUUCUGUUAAUUUUUGAAAUAUUUAGAAAUGAAUGGGUUGAUUUAUGAUUUUAUGGAAUUUUCAAAAGUAUUUAUUAUGUGUAUAGUGAUAUAUGUGUUUGUGAAUGCAGUUAAGUUGUUGGUAGCUUUUGAGUAUCAGUUGAUAUUUUGUACAGUUUUUCAAAUUUUCUCUCUUUUUUUUGGGAAAUGAUUCAUAUUUACUAUAAACUAUGAAUUUAAAACCCGCAGAGGAGCGCGGCACUUUUGCUAGUUUUGACCUAGAAGCAAAUGGAAACGGGCCAACUACUUAGUUGAUAACACUGAAUUUGAUCAAGUAGAAAUGUUAUACAAAGCAAACUUAUAGAGCCCCAUUAUUGUAAUACAACAUAACAAAUGCUGAAGCACCAGAAAUCAUAAAAAACAUGACGUUGGCCUUGAAGGCCCAAACAUUUCUCUAGCCGGUAGACACAUCAAGCUAAGUUCGGCGUCCCCUCGUCGCCCGUGCAGUUGUUGACUUCCUCCUCCUCCUGAAUGUCUCCACAAACCAUUCAUCCUUCUUGUCUGCCAACAUGUUUCCAGCAACCACUCCCACUACUAGUCCGCUAACAACUCCCGGCAAAACUACGUACCAAUCAAACUCAAAUGUAAAUCCAGCCUCUUCAUCUUCUUCAAAACUUGAUGGUGGCGGCAGCCUCAAGCUUUUAGAACCCUCGCAUUUCUUGGACAAAGGCUUUCCACACAGACCUGAGUUUCCUUGGUAUGAAUCUUCUAGGAAUGUACCAAAUUGUUGGCCAAGUGGUAUUGGCCCCCAAAGGUGGUUAUGCGACACGUUGAAAUACUCAAGGAAAGUGAGUUGUGCCAAGCUAUCGGGGAUCCUUCCUGAGAGCUUGUUUUGAGAGAGAUCCAACGAUUCAAGAGCAGUCAAGUUCCCUAGAGAUGAAGGGAUGUGACCAGAGAGAGCGUUGUUGGAGAGGUUUAGCAAAUGAAGUUCUCUUAGACUCCCAAUGAUACUUGCUAGAAUCUCUCAUUCAAAUCUAUUAUUUGAGAAAUCUAUAAGUCUCAGAUCAUAGGGGGUCCGAUAAUAUGUCAACUUAACACCUUUUACUGGAAUUAUCAUAUUGUUUGAAACUACAAUGUAAUCUCCAUAUUUACUUGUGCUCCUGUUCGAUGAGAUUCUAAAGUAGAGGUAUCCCUUGUUUGCGACAACAUAUUUCAUGAAACUCCAGUUCUCCAUGUACUUAGAAGGCAACAUACCUGAAAACAGAUUGUUGGACAAAUCAAUGAUGCACAAGUUUGGGAACUCAUGAUUUGUUGGAGGCUUCCCAAUUAUCCCAUGAAAUGCAUUCGACCCCAAAAUGAGACCCCUCAAUACUGGAAGUACCCCUAACCAAGAAGGGAAGAUGUCACUGAUCUGAUUGUUGCCAAUGUUAAGAAACUCUAACCGAGUGCAAUCGGCCAUUGAUCUUGGUAGUUUCCCCUGUAACCGAUUGUAACCCAACAAAACCAAUUUCAAACUAUUUUUGUUAGCACAAAAUGGAGGAAUAUCGCCGUGGAAAGAAUUAAACAUCAAGAUCAAUAUUUCCAAGGUACUGGACUUCCCCAAACACCGUGGAAGCAUGCCAAUCAAGCUGUUGUUGGCCAAAUCAAGAACUUGAAGAUAAUUCAAGUUGCAGAACAAUGGUGAAACUUCUCCACUAUAAUUAUUGUUGCUGACAAAGUAAGACAUGAUAGAUUGUGGUGGAAUUGGCAAUGACCCUCGUAACCGAUUAGUAUCAAGACUAAAAACCUGCAGAUUUUUCCAUGGAAGAGUGACUGGAUUUUCCUCAAAGCCUGUUAAGAAGUUCGAAGAGAGGUCGAGAUUGACCAGAGUUUCUCUAGUUGCAUUCCAGAGCCAUUUUGGUAUUUGGCCAUGAAUGUUGUUACCAGAAAGGCCUAGGGCUCCCAAUUCGUAUUGAUUUUUCAAAAAUUCUGGAAACUCUGUCAAGUUGCAUUCAGCCAACUCUAGAUAUUCGAACUUUGGAAGAGUAGCACUCGAACCAGAUUUGACACGCACGGAUAACUUGUUGUACCCUAAACCAAGUGCCUUCAACUUUUUGAGGUUGGAAAACUCAUCAAACUCAACUAAUCCACUCAAAUUAUUAUUGGAAAGGCCAAGACGUUCAAGAUUUCUGAGGUGGAAAAGCGACUUAGGAAUUGCUCCUUGCAAAUCGUUGCGGGUGAGCCGUAGAAAAGUUAAUUGGGUCAACUCUAAUGCGAGCCAAGAUGGGAUUUCACCAGUUAUUGAAUUAUCAGACAAGUCUAGAGACGCAAGUUGGGUCAGGUUAGCCACAAAACGUGGGAAAUUCCCCUGUAAGUUAAUAUUCGAAAGAACCAAGUAGUUGAGCUUGGUUAAUUUUCCAAAACAAGACAAGGAAUCAGGAACUAAGAAUUGGCCUGCGGAAACGUCAUGAAAUGAAGCCAUCUCAAGGAAACUGAGCUGGGUAAGGUUUCCAAAUGAAGAUGGAACAUGGGAAUCAAAACCACAAUUUGAGAUAUCAAAGUAAUUUAAGGAAUGAAGGUUUCCGAUAGAACUAGGAAGUUCACCAGAGAUAUUUGUCUUUGAAACAUCUAAUGUUUUGAAGGAAUUGGUCCUGUUAAAAGUAGGAAAAUAACCAUUUAGGUAUGUGUUCGAGUACAAUCUAAGCUCCUCUAGGUUUGGUAGAUGGAAAAUGCCUACUGGGAAUUCCCCAUACAACCCACAAGAGCUUAGAUUGAGAGAUGUGAGAGAAGAUGCGUUGACCAAGAUAUCAGGCACAGUGGAGUAUAUGCCUACAUAUCUAAGAUGAAGUUGUUUUAUGCUGGUCAAGUUUUGGACUAGGAUUCUCAUGAUGGACUUCCUAAGCUCCAAACCAUUAUUGUAAGACAGAACAAGGGUAGACAGUUUGGAUAGCCUUGAAAUUUCAGAUGGAAUUUGGCCAGAAAAUGUAGACCUUGAAAGGUUGAGAUAGGAUAGACUCAAAAGGUCAUGGCCCAAUCUCGAUGGUAUUUUAGAGGAAUUGAAGUUGUUAUCUGAGAGGUCAAGCUUCUGCAAGUGAACAAGUCGGAAGAGGGUGCUGUUGGAAGUGAUAGAACCAUAGAGACAGCUGCUCUUGAGGUCAAGGCCAAUGACACGGCCAGACUCCGCAUGGCACUCAACACCAUCCCACGAACAACAGUUACUCUGAUUUUGAUCUCCUUCUCGAGCCCAAGAUGCAACCUUCGGAUAAGCAAAAGGAGAUCCCGAAGCUGACUUGUCUAUCGUAAAGCUUUCCUUGAAUUGUAACAAGAAGGAAUGCUCGUCAACGUGGCAAAAUGUCCAUGUCUGAGUCUGCACAAAUGAAAAAUAGUGAGUAGCAUUGAGUAAUAGCAAAAGAAGACAAUGCAAACAGGUAAACUUGGACAACAAAGAAUCCAUUUUCAUGGCAGUGUGUUUUUCUGGUUAUAUGAAAUAUUGUUUUAUGGCUCUAAGAUAAUUAAGAGUGGAGAAGUUAACUCCUUUUAUAGACACAACUCAUGCAAAGCAUAAAUAAAUAAAUAAAGUAUGAGUCGAUCGAUGAAUGGGUGGUGAAUUGAUGUCUCGAUCAAUUGAAGACUUGGAAGUCAAUCAUCGUUUGCAUGUAAUAAUUGCAAACUCGAUUGUUUAGUUUUAUCUGUACGCUCGUUUGAUCUUAAAGAAUGUGAACGUAGUACUUUAAGCAGAUAAAAUCAGGUGAUCGCUAUCACUUGAAGACUUGAAGUCAAGUCGUCGUUUGCAUAAGUGACUCAUAGCAACGCUUAUUUAUCUUUUUAAUACAGGUUCUAAUUAUGUGUAUAUAUACUCCUUAACUCAAUUUAUUUAUCGUUACACUUAUUUAUCUCAUGUUAAUUACUUGAGUUGAAGUUCGUCCAUGUAGUAGGAUUUACUAUGUAUACACACAAUUUAUUCAUAGUACGUGAAUAUUAAUUAAUUUAGUCUUUAAUUUAAGGUUAGUGUUUUAUUUUCUCGUGCUUUGCACACAUAACAAACAAUUAGUUGUCACUCUUACUAAUAAAAAUGUCACCGAGGCUACUAUCUCUUUCACAAACAGAGUAGCUUUUGUUCCACUAAUCAUGGGCAUGGGGUCUCGUGAACCAGAUUAUAAGCCACUGAUCAUCAACAUAAUUUAAGGUUAGAUAUGAACAUUUCGGUACACUUAUAUUUUUUUCAUAUUUUCUUAUUUACCACUAAUUCAUUACAAUAUAUUUAGGUAUGAACAUUUCGAUAUACUAGGUUAGUAUAAUAUAUUUAGAUACGGACAUUUCGGUACACUAGUUUAGUAUAAUAUAUUUAGGUACCAACAUUUCGGUACUCUAGUUUAGCAUCAUAUAUUUAGGUAUGAAAUUUUUUUGGUACACUUAUGUUUUUGCAUAUUUUCUUAUGUGCCACUAAUUCACUACAAUAUAUUUAUGUACGGACAUUUCGGUACACUAAUUUUGUAAAAUAUAUUAUGAUACGAACGUUUAGGUACACUAAUUAGAUGAAGUAAAAUAAAAUUAAUGAAUUAAAAUAUGUAUAAUAAUAAAUUUCAAUUUUAAUGUAAUGUAAUGACAUUAAAUAAGAUAUCUAUUAAAUAUUAAAAAAAAUGUAAUAUGAAUUUGAAUUAAGUACACGUUAGAGGACUAAAAUCAAUAUCCAAUCUAACACCAGGUUUUUAUUGAAUUUUAAUCUUCUUCAAGGAUUAAAGUUCAAAAACCCCUUAAUUUUAAUGUCGUAAGAUUAUUGAGUACUAUGCGGUAGUACCAAUUUUGUCUGAAGUAAUGAAUCAUCAUUUUAUAGACUUGAUCUACCUUUUCGCGAGAGUUGUGAGACUUCUCUGAAUGAUCAUAUUCAUUCAUGGAAUAACACAUCAUUUAUAGAAGGGUAUAACCUCUAUCAGUGGUGGAUCCAUGAUUUUAGUGUCAAGUUGUCCCAAUUUUAAAGCUCCAAAAAAGAAGACCAAAAUAACAUUGAAAAAAUAAAUGACAAAAUCAAUGCCAUUUAUUCGUCUACUAAAAUAAAAAUAAGUACAACUACAUAAUAUAUAACUCAUGUAGUUAAUGUGAGACUAUCAAGACUCUUGUCAUUAAUACAUAGAUAAACACUGUGUUGAUCACUUGAGUAACAAGUUCUCACAACAUGAACUAAUAAAUAAAUCAUGCACUCCAAAAAAACACUUGCAUAACUAAAUCCUAAUUAGGGUUUUGGGAUCAAAGAGAACAAUGGAAGACGUUCGCAAACCUAAAGGUUAAAAGUUAUUAAAUUUGGAGAUAUUUUAACUAUUCAUAUACAUAAAACAAAUAAACAGUUCAUUAUGAAUAUGCUACUUGUUACUAAAAAUGUUGAUUGCCUUGACAUGAAUGAAUGAAUGACUAAAAGGUCUAUGAAUUGAAGGAUUUUUGCAUAUACGAUUAUGAUAAAGAGAAUAAACAGUUUCGAUAUGAUAUUCGUACAGUGAAGAUACAUUAAUCGUAAGUGAGGGGACAAGCAUUGUCCAAAAAAGUGUGUGAUAAUACUUGUACUCCUUGGGAGAUGAGCUCAUUCUUCCACUUACAAAUAAAGUAUCUUGACAGUAGAAAUUUCAUAAUCAAAACCGUUCAAUUUCUUAAUCUUCAUUUGAAAAUCAUCCCUGUAAAUAUCAGUCGAAUUAGAUAUUGUUUAAUCAUCUAAAUGUAACAAAUAAAUCAACAGUUUUUAUUGUUUAAUCAUCUAAAUGUAACAAAUAAAUCAACAGUUUAUCAUAAAUAUGUUAGGUGGUACUUACACUGUUAAUUUGUUUGAUACAUUUAGAUCUAAACGACCUCUGAUUCAAAUGAUUUUCUUGUGGAGAUGAUUUUAAGAUAAAGAUUAAAAACUUGAAAUGUUCCAUUUAUAAAAUUUAUACUGUAAAGAUUCAUUAUUUGUAAGUGGAGAAAUAAGCUGAUUCCAAAAAGCGAACACAAGUAUUAUUCUUCACAAAACAUACGCAAAAAAAAAUUAUGGGAAUGAGUGAUGAGUAAUUGAGUGGUGACAAAAAAGUAAUGAAAAAGAAAACCAAACAAGGAGACGAUGAAGUCAAUAUAAUGCCGAUCUCGAUCACUCGAAGACUUGGAAGUCAUAUGAGUCGUUUGCAGGUAAGCAUCUCUAGCUAACCUACAAGUAUACCAUUAAUGUUGUUGCUACUUAUUGGCAUUGGGUAUCAGGCAAUUGUCUCAGUUGAAGUCAAACUAUUAAGGCCAAAUUUGCCUUGUCCCACAUGAUAAGGCAUCGCUAAUUAGUAAUUACCACUCAUGUUCUUGUGAUGAUAAAUACUAAAAGUGACAUUAAGAAAAAAAUAGAAAUUGCAUUUAUAAUUCAGUAAUACAAAAGACCAAGGGUUACAUCAAUAGCAUCUUAAACAUCUAGAGUUCCUCCGGCCAUAGUAUCAAAAGUGUUGCGGACAAGGAUUGUCUGCCCUCCUUGUUCCCGUGCCCUCCCAUGCCCUUUUAUUUGUGUGGUUACGGUUAAGCUACUUCAACAUUUUAUAUUACUAUUCAUUUUUGUCUUAUUAUCUAUAUAUAAAAAAACAAUAUAAAAUGUUGACGUGACUUAAUCGUGACCACACAAAACAGGAGGGCAUACAAUCCUUGUCCAAGGGUUGCAUCAAUAGCAUUGAAACCCGAAAUUACGUACUUCUUUGAUGAACAACAACUACUCAUCCCAUCUUCUUCUUGCGUCCAAGAUGUAACUUUUGGAUUGAAGAAAGUUAAUGUUCCACCAUAUGAUAAAGGGAACUUUAACGAAAAGUUCCCGGUACUGUUCACUUUAACGAAAAACCACAUUUUUACAUUAAAAAGUCAAUCAUGAUACUAUUCACUUUACAUUUUAUUUUGUCCUUACCGUUAAAACUCAAAGUUUUCAAGUCAUUUUCAUUAGUUUUCUCUAUGAUAAAACUAAUUGAAUAGAUAUAAUGACGCGUGUGUAGUAGGAGAGAUAACUGUGUGGUUAUUAUUUCCCAAAAGGGUUGGGGAAUAAUUAUUCACGAAAUUCGAGCCUAAAAUCUCUUAUUUACAAUAAAAAAAAGUAAUAUCACUAAACCAAAAUACUAAAUAACUUCAUUUCUCAAAAUUAAAAACUAAAAAUUUAGGUUAUCAAAUGAACUCUUAUUUUUUCAAAUUAUGAUGUAUGUUUUUGUUUUUAUUUAUUUUUAAUGUCCGAAUUAAAUAUGCUUAGGAUCUCACAUAAUUAAAGGUGGAGAAAUCGACGUCCCUUUUUUGUAGACGGUAUAUACAAAGUUGUUUCUUUCAAUGAGCUUGGGGAGCUAUGGACUACAAAAAAUAGUGAUCAUAAUUCUAAACAUACAAGUCAAGAAGGUGGAGAAAUGGGCGCUGAUAAGGGGAACAUAAUAAUUUGCUCAGACCGUCACUUGAAGACUUGAAGUCAAGUCAUCGUUUGAUAAGAUCAGCCCAUCGCCAUCACUUGAAGACAUGAAGACUUGUUCGACAAAAAAAGAAAAAAAAGAAAUCUUGAAGACUUGGAGUCAAUUCAUCGUUUGCAUGUAAUAAGUAUUAUGUUCACCUUUGAACAAAAGAAAAAAAAACCCAUCUCACUGUAAGAUGGAAAAUUUCUGUACUCAUAUCUAAAGUCAAAAUCUUAACAUAUACAAGUAAAAAUUUCACCGGUGUUCUAAGCUAGUUACAAAUACCAUACCAUUAUUCAUCCGACCCCCUUAAUUAUAUACUAAUCAGAAGGGGCUUAUGGGUGUUUCGAUCACCAAGGCACGUAACCUACAGAAAUAAAAGGAAAUGCAAUUAUGAUGAGGAGAGCUGCUUUUCAGCAGAAAGAAGUAAAGGAAGAAGCAAAAGAAGGCGGCUGUGGAGAUAGUCUUUAGGGCAAGUGAAACAUUCUAUAUAUCAUUGUCCAAGCACGAUUUGAGAGUGAAUCCGUCAUUAAUUACUCUUGUUACUGUUCUUCAAUAGGCUCUUUCAUGUUUCCACUCAAUUUUCAUUACGAACAUGUAUUAUGUCAAGUUGAGUCCUCUCCGAACCGCAGGAGAUAGUUGCCCAUCAUGCAAAGUGACUUUUUGUUCUCACCAAUCUGUUCAUUUUCUUUCCACCAUUACUAGUCAUCCCCUAGCAAAGUUGUCUCCAAAAGGGAAGGAUUUGAUCAUGAUAUGAGAGAUAGAGAUGGAAAAGUACAUGAUUUUAUAGGCUAGGGUUUAAUAUUUUUAUUUUUCUUUAAUCAUCAAGAAAAAAAAGGUCAUUGGAUCAUCAUGGUUUAACUUGUUUUCUUUGAUACAUUCGAUAUUUUCAUGAAAAUAUCCAAAAAAUCAUAUAAAGUUAUGGAGAUGGGGGGUGAAGUCUAAACUUCACUUUAUAUCAGAGAAACUCUUAAGUUUAGAAUAAAAUCGACAUAUAUCGUCGAUAUUUUGUAUACACUUGUUAAAUAUCGAAAAAAAAAUCUCAUAUUUUGUCCAAAUCAAUGUUUAAGAAUUCCCAAUGUUUCAUUUUAAAUUUUCAUUAUUUCCAUAGAAAGCAACCGAUAUUCAAUAUGUCCGUCGAUAUUUCCACAAAUUUGCUUAUUGAUAUUUCCACGGGUACUAAUAUUGUAAGCAUUGGUUUUAACAGAUACAACAAAAAUACCUUUGGUUGAAGCUUCCUCCAACUUGCGUCUCAAUUGUUCAGGAAUGAAACUAUAACAAACACCUCCAACACUUUGUGGUAAUAGUCAAAGGCGUAUAAUUUGGUUCAAGACUAUAAGCCUUAAUCAAUGAGUAGCAAAAAUAUGGUUUCACACUAAUCCCAUGACGAGAAUAUUUGCGGUGAUAGUGAAAGGCGUGUAAUUUGGUUCAAGACUUCAAGCCUUAAAAGUGGAUCCAUGCAUACGACUAGAAGGGAGAUGGAAGAGGCAAGGAAAAGAGGUAAUUGGGAGCCGCCGACUCCGGUUAGACCUCAGACUACUGUUUUAUUUUUAUCUUUUUACAGCUUUAUUCUUUAAAAGGGUAAAAUGAAAACUUUGAAUUUUGCUAAGUAAUAACAGAUAAUUAAUUAAGUGCAAAUAGUAAAAAAAAAUUAAUAUUAAGAAGAUGAUGGUUUGGAACUAUUUCAAUAAUUUGGAAAUUGAGAGUAUUAAACUCAGAAUGCAUGGGUAGAGAUCAAAUACCAUAUCCAAUAGGAUAUUUGAGCACAUGCAAGUGCAGAUAGUAAAUCCCAAGUCUUAUAGUGGUAAUAAUACCCUUUUUAGUAUUUGUUUUUCACUCUUUAGUUGACAAAAAAGAAUUUUUAUAGUAUCAAUAUAGAUAAACAUUUUUCUUCUAAUACAAUGCAUGAUUCAUUAAAAUUCACUGAGAAUAAAGGAAAGGAAAUAACCAUCUCAACCCACCCCCUCAGUUAUAUACUAAAUAGAAGGGGAUCUUUGGCGUCUCAUUCACCGCCACGGCAAGUGAAACACGACUCCACCUACAGAAAUAAAAUAAAAAAUUGCUAGUGUGAUGAAAAGUGACAACUUUUUUUUCUUACCAAUUUGAAACUUCAAUUUUUCUUUUUUUCAAGAUUUGAAAUAUUUUAUUUUCUUUAUUUUUUAUAGUCCCAUAUUUGGUCCUACAUCAGUCUCUUCCACUAGAAAAAUCUCACCCUUCAUCUUGAAAACAACUAGGGUUGAUAUGAAUCUUGAUGAGUCAAUAAUUUCUUCAAUUAGAGGAACCCAUUAUUCUUGGUAUUUGGUUGGAAUCACAAUGGCACCUUACUAUGAUAUACAUGUUUAUUGAGCUUCUAGUUGAUACAAAUGAUAUAUAUGAUUACUAGUAUGAAAAAUAUGAGCCUCGAACCUUAUUAGAAGUAUUCUAUAGAAAUUGUAUGUUUGUAUGUCAAUAUAUUUAGUUGUCAUGUGAAAUUGAUAAUGUGUGCGCUCACAUUGUAAAUCAUAUGUGCUGAUGUAGACAAUAAGAUGUGUGGUGAUCAGUUGCACUCAGUGGUACAAAGAUGAUCCUAGUUGGUAUAUAUGCGAUAGGGGAUCAUACGUUUUCAAGGGUGAUCAUGAUUAGUACAUCCGAGAUGGGUGAUCACUGUUGCACGAUUAGAUUACACAUAUGGUUUUGCUUGGUAUAUCUGCAAUGGGGGACCACAUACGCAUUACAGGAGUGAUCAUGUGUUGGUAUAUCUGUGAUGGGUGAUCACUACCUAAAGUUAGGAUACGAUUCUGCUUGGUAUAUUCGUGAAGGGCCCGUACAUAUGAUAGUGAUCAUGCUUGGUAUGUCCAUGAUGGGUGAUCGCUGCCUGCACAAUUGGACAAUGCCUAUGGUUCUGCUUGGUGUAUCCGCAAUAAAGGAUCAUACACAUUCUAGGAGUGAUCAUGCUUGGUAUAUCCGCGAUAGGUGAUCACUACCUAGAGUUAGGAUACAAUUCUGGUAGGUAUAUCCGCAAUGGGGGACCGUACAUAUAAUAGGGGUGAUUAUACUUGGUAUAUCUGCGAUGGGUGAUCAUUGCCUGCACUAUUAGACUAUGCCUAUGGUUUUGCUUGGUAUAUCCGCAAUGGGUGACCAUACGCAUUCUAGGAGUGACCAUGCUUGGUAUAUCCGUGAUGGGUGAUUACUACCUAGAGUUAGAAUUCGGUUCUGCUUGUUAUAUCCGCAAUUGAGGACCGUACAUAUGAUUGGGGUGAUCAUGCUUAGUGUAAUUCGAUGGGUGAUCACUGUCUACCUAAGGUUGUGAGGAUUAGUUGUACUUGCUUAAUUUCGAUAGACGACCAUAUUUUAGUUAGAUUCCGUUGAGUGGUCCGGAAUCCCAGUUCUUGUUUGUUUCCAUUAAGUUAGUCUGAAAACCUAGAUUCAAGUGCAUAAGAAUUGCUCACAGUGGAUAUUGUGGAUGCAAAUUUCCGCCUUCUUCUUCUUGGACAAAAUUGCACCUACAAAACAAUUAAUGCCUUAGGUCAAGGCCAAGAGGCUCAUGCGCCCACGAUGAAUUGGCGGGGGCUUUGGCCGAAGAACCUCCGAUGCCAAAGUUAGAAUUUAGAGAGAAAAGUAUUUGGAGAGUUUUUGGGAGUUUUGCAAGAGUAUGAAACUUAGCUUUUUAGAAGAAAUAGGGUCAUAUAUAUAGGGAAUGGGGUGUGGCCGGCCUUUAAGUGUGUUUUGGGGUGUUAUUUGGUGAUUCAAUUAGCAAUUAAUAUAUGAAUUAGGUAUAAAUAUAUUAAUUGGCUAAUUAUCAUAAUAAAACAAAUGUUUUGGGAGAUUUUGAAGGUUAUGGAAUGAGGAUGGAUGAGACAAAUUUGAACUUGUUACCUAUUUUGGGUACUCCUGAUUUGGUUGAUGGAUGAUUCUCCACUGCUCACGUGUAGAAGAGCCGGUAUGCACCGAGGGUAAAUUUGUCAUCUUCACCCAAAAAUCCACAUAUCGCCUUAUGAUUAUUUUUGGCUCCACAGAUAUUAUGUUUGUAAAUUAGAGUUAUCAUGUUAUUGUUUGGAAUCCAGGUAGGGAAUUAUGGUGAGUUCCUUUAUUAAAUUGGUGAAAUGAUAUGUGAUUUUUUUUAUUGAUUAACGUAGUUAAAUGUUAAUAUUGUGCAUCUUUGAUUUGUUAGAUCGCUUAAUUGUUGUGAUUGUGGAUUGUGUUGGAAAAUAUUGUGAUAUAGGUGAAUGACAAUCUUGUUCACAUAUGAUUUCAUUAUGUAGACGAAAAUCUAGCAAGGCAUACUCAAUUAUUGGUUCCCUUGUGUGAUUUUGGAACUCUAUGUUCUUGCCAGUUAAUGCCUUGAGAAUUUUAGAGCUUAAAAGAAGGGUGAAUUACGAAUGGUUUGAUCCCGUUGUAAGGUAUAUAGGCAGUCUAACAUAGAUGUUCGAUGAUCAAGUACAUGGUGACGUCGCGUGUCGAUCCUGGACGUAGCUCGGGAUCAGAGGGUGACAUAUAGACUAUUGCAUUUGAUCCCCCAUAAACGCUCAUGCACAUCACCAUCUAAAAAGGAAACAACCAUCUUCACCGUAUUCCUUUCCGGAAUUGGCUAUGUCUUAAAAAGUCUCUCAGUUGUAAAAAUUAGGAUACAAAUCGUUAUAUUGUUUGCAAGAGCACGAAGCUCAAACUAGGAAAUAUCAUAAUAGAAUUAUUUUUACUUUCUAAUUUAUUUAUGUUCAAUGACUUCAAUUAUUUCCCUAAAUCAAGAGUGUUUUGAUGAUUUCCCACUAAAUUAACAUAAAGGGCCAAUUUCCACAUAGGGCCAUGUAUCCCCGUACUUCAUCUAACUUUCUAUUGAAAAUGUCACAUUUCAAAAUUUAAAAAAAAAAAAAAGAAGAAGACAAUAAUAAGAUUAAGAAAGGAAAUAUAACAAACACAAAAGGAGAUUCAACGACCAACAUGUGACUUUCUGGAUUGAAUUUGGGUAAAUUUGAAGCUAGGGAGAAAUUAUCUAUUCAUAGUAUUUUAGGGAAAAAAUUGGCCAAACCAAAACUUUAUGGGUAAUAUCGGCAAUGGGGUACAGGUUAAGGGUGGGAAUCGGCGAAUUACUCUUCUUAAAUGUAUAGAGAAACUGAACUCAAGUGAAGCUCUAGGUUAGUGUCAAUUAGGGAUGGGCAACGGUUAUCCCGGACGGGUAACCGUGGUUAUUUACCCAUAACUCAUACCCGCAUAACUUUUUACCCAUUGGGUAAUUGCCUAAAAGGUUAGACCCAUACUCAUAACCGCAUACCCAUUUAACCGUAACUGUUUAAUACCCGUUUACCCAUUUACCCUUUUUAACCCCGUUUAUCCUUUUUUUUACCAUUACCCAUUUUUCACCCGUCUACGUGUUUUUUAACAACUUGAAAAUUAAAAAAAAAAUUGUCAUAAUUUUUUUUUUGACAAUUAAACACCGUUAUAGGUACAUUCAUCAUACAUUUCCGUAUUUUAAUUUUCAAACAGACCAUAGAUGUCCUAGUUUACAUGAUUUAAGCCAGUCAGUUAAGAGUUAUUUUACUCACCACCUAACCCUUGUAUAGCUUACGCCCCUCUAGAUUGUGCCACAUGUUUAAAAGACAAAACACAAUCAGUCUAAUGCAUUUAUUUAUUUCUUACCAAUAAUUAAGCAAUAAACUUACCAUUCAAAACCCCACUGAGUGAGGUUUCAAAACAUAAUUCAUUAAAAUUACAUGAUGAAUGUUGUUGUUAAGGCCUUGCAAGGCAUGAGAGUGAUUGGAGUUGGGGCUCUUGACUUUAUAAUUGGUGCAGCUCUCUAUUCUUCGGCAUCCUAAUUUGGGACAACAUUAAAAAUUCGUAUGAUCACCUAUCAAAUUUGCCCCACCUAGUCAGAAAUCAUAUUGCUAUUUAGCCUAAUGAAAAAUUCAAAAGUUAGUUCGCAUCGAAAACGACAUUCACUACUUUUAUUUAUGAGACAAAGAUGCCCUAUUAAAUGGCGGCUCAGUUUACUCUCGAGGAUUGCUGAUUAAGUAAGCUCGAGAGGAACGGGUCUAAACAAGACAAGAGGAGUAUACUAUUCAAACUAUGCACAACAAGGAUACGGUUAGUACUUACAAGGAACUUUCUCUUCAGGUUGCUUUCGGUUGCACAACUCCGAGAGCAGAUUAUAUACUUCAUGGCUUAGUGUUUGGAUCUUCUCCCAGGCUUGGCAAUGACCGAAGUGCAUGGUCAGAAGGGCAAGUCUUGUGAAGUUGCCAUUGCUCCACUGGCCCUGCCUUGACCUCUUCCUCUUGUCACAGUUUGCGAAGACGAUGGCAAUGCAGCAGAUCGCUGAGUGAACUCCAUUCGCCUUGAUCAUGGCACGGCCUGACUACCUCUUCCUCUUCCUCACCACACCUAAACCCUAACAACAAUAUCAAACUAAGCCUUAAGUUAACAAAGUAAAUUAUGCAUGUACGAUUUCCUCAGUUACUGCUCGAGAAGAGGAUGCAAAUUGUGUUGCGAAUUAUAUAUUAGUUAGAGUUUAAAUAGUAGUUUAUUGUCCUACAUUGGUGAAGUACAUAUGUAAUACCAAUUGUAACUCCUAUAUAUACUCCACUUUGGAGAUUAAUGAAUAUAUUAGAAAUUCCCAAAUAUUGUCAUAUAUAUAUUUUUGGUAUUUACCAUGUUUAGUUUAAUAUUGGUAUUUACCAUGUUUAGUUCAAUAUGGCAUCAGAGCAGUUCGCUCUUGAUGACCUGUGUGCUUUAAUUUUGUGCCCAUAUAUUUUCGUGAUUUCCUUCGUGGAAAAAAAAAAGAAGUGAAUAGUGUCGCAACAGUACAAUGCGUGAACAGUGGUCAUCUACAGUGCCGUAAACAGUGAUUGCUAUAGUGCGUGAAUAGUGAUCUGCUACAGUGCCGUGAACAAUCUCUGCUACAGUGUUCUGGUAAAUUAUUUUCAUUCCGCUGCGUAUCUUUUGUGCCUUUAUUGUUCGUGAUUUUGUUCAAUGGCUCAAUAUAAUCAUAAUGUUGUUAUGCAUCUUGGUGGAACAAAUAAAUGGAUAAUUGAUACUUGGGCCACUGAUCAUGUGACUAGUGACCCUAAAGUGUUUGAUGAGUUAUGUGACUAUGUUCGUGAUCCGUAUGUUACUAGUGCAAAUAGAGCACAUUCCCCUGUGAAGGGUGAAGGCACUAUCUCUCUGACUCUAACCUUAUCAUUGGUCCGUGUUUUACUUGUUCCUGAUCUUAAGUGCAAUCUUUUGUCGGUAGGAAAACUUCUUGAUACCUUAUAUUAUUCUGUUCACUUCUACCCUACAUAUUGUUAUUUUCAAGAUAUUCAAACUCAGAAGAUAAUUGGUCAUGGUAAAAGAAUAGGGGGUUUGUACAUCUUGACUAUGGAUGAUACUGUUGUUUCUGGUUCAAAUAAUCAUCAAGUUUUAAGUGCUAAAGUGGAUGACAGACAUCAAAUUUGGUUGUGGCAUCGACGAUUGAGACAUCCAUCAUUCAAUUAUAUGAAACAUCUAUUUCCUUCUUUGUUUCGCACUUGUAGUGAUUCGGAGUUCAAGUGUGAAACAUGUGUCAUGGCUAAGAGUCAUCGUGCUUCCUUUUCCGUAAGUGAUUCUAAAGCUACUUUGCCAUUUGAUUUGAUACAUUCUGAUGUGUGGGGUCCGGCGAAAGUUACUUCUAAUGGAUUCCGUUGGUUUGUUACUUUUAUUGAUGAUUGUACUCGGUUAACUUGGGUGUUCUUGAUGAAAAAUAAGAGUGAUGUUCCGUUACUUCUUCAAGAAUUUUGUACAAUGGUGUCUACUCAGUUUCAAACCACAGUUAAGGUCUUCAGGUCUGAUAACUGGGGAGAAUAUGUGAAUCACACUUUGUCAUGUUUUUUUUCGUGAUCAUGGUAUUAUUCACCAGAUGACUACUCUGUUUACACCCUAACAAAAUGGUGUGUCCGAACGGAAGAAUCGUCAAAUAAUGGAAGUUGCUCGCUCCUUGAUGUUGGAUAAAUGUGUUCCUAAUCAUUUGUGGGGUCAUGCUGUUUUGGCUGCUGUGUAUUUGAUCAAUCGUGUUCCAAGUAGGGUUCUUGAUUUUCAAACACCGUUCAAUGUGCUACAAAAACAUGUUUCUCUUGUUUCUGUAUCAAAGCUUCCUCCUAAAGUGUUUGGGUGUAUUGCGUAUGUGCAUGUCUACUCUCAUCAGCAGAGUAAACUUGAUGCAUGUGCUUUCCAGUGUGUCUUUAUUGUGUAUGCUAACAAUCAGAAAGGCUAUAAGUGUUAUCAUUCUCCGACUCAAAAAACUUAUAUUACCAUAGAUGUCACCUUUUAUGAGGAAGUUUCAUAUUUUGUGAAGCCCUUUUCCGACUCUCCACUUCAGGAGGAGAGGGGGAGUGAAGUGCAGAUUCGAAGAUAUGGUAUGGAUGAUAUGUUACAGGCAGAGUUGGGAACAUAACCUAUUAUGUUGCGUGAUACUGAUCAAUCGACUACAGAUAGUGAUCGGUCACCUGUUAUUCUCGGAACUAUUUCUACUGAUGAUAGAUCAGAUGUGCCCAGCGAGUUGCCUGUUAGUAUGUCUAACGAAUUACCUUCUCAUGAUCGGUUGCAUGCUGCUGAUAUGUCUAAUGAGUUGCCUGAUGAUGGUUCGUCCAGUGAUGAUUCUUCUAACAGUUUGGUACAACAUGGUGGCAUACAUGAGGUAAAUUUUGAUGAUUCUUCUACUUAUCAGUUUCCUCCACGAGCUAAUCGUGGAAAACCUAAAGUACAAUAUGAGCCUGAUAUGCAUGCCAAAGCCAAAUAUCCUAUCAACAAUUAUGUGUCUACUCAUCGUUUAUCCAAACCAUAUGCAUCUUACAUAUGUCAGUUAUCUAGUGUAUCAAUUCCAACAAAAUUGCAAGAUGCUUUGUCUGACCCUAAGUGGGUUAAUGCCAUGGAAGUUGAGAUGGAAGCUUUGAAAAAGAAUUCUACCUGGGAUUUGGUUCCUUUACCAAACGAAAAAAAAGUCGUUGGAUGUAAAUGGGUGUUUACUAUUAAGCAGAGAGCAGAUGGCUCUAUUGACCGAUAUAAAGCUAGAUUAGUUGCUAAGGGUUAUACUCAAACCUAGGGGUGGACUAUCAAGAGACAUUUGCUCCUGUUGCCAAAUUUAAUAUUGUGCGUGUUCUUCUGUCCUUAGCAGCAAACUAGGAUUGGCCUCUGUUGCAGUUUGAUGUUAAGAAUGUUUUCCUUCAUAGUGAUCUUAAGGAGAAAGUGUAUAUGGAUCUCUCACCUGGUAUUGGAACAUCUCCUGGAAAAUGUGUUGUAUGCAGGUUACGAAAGGCUUUGUAUGGUUUGAAACAAUCUCCUAGAGCGUGGUUUGGGAGGUUUACAAGUUCAAUGAAGAAGUUUGGGUAUAUCCAGAGUCAUUCAGAUCAUACUUUGUUUCUAAAGCGACAAAAUGGUAAGCUAACUGCAUUAAUUAUUUAUGUUGAUGACAUGAUAGUGACUGGUGAUGAUCAGAAGGAGUUACAACGUCUACAUAAGUACCUAGCUACUGAGUUUGAGAUGAAAGAAUUGGGUGAAUUGAAGUAUUUUCUUGGAAUCGAGGUUGCACGAUCCAAGCAUGGUAUUUUUCUAUCUCAACGGAAAUAUGUUCUUGAUUUGGUAGCUGAAACAGGUAUGUUAGAUUGCAAAUCUGUUGAUACUUCGAUUGAGCAGAAUCAUCGUCUGGGCUUAUUUCCAGAUCAAGUUCCUACUCAUAAGGAACGGUAUCAGAGGCUUGUGGGGAGAUUAAUUUAUUUGUCUCACACUUGCCCUGACAUUGCAGUUAGUGUGGUAAGUCAGUUUAUGCACUCACCUAGUCAAGCUCAUAUAGAUGCAGUUACCCGUAUUUUAAGGUACUUGAAGAUGGCUCCUGGUAGAGGCUUGUUUUUCUCCAAUGAUGGUCAUUUGAAUGUCGAAGGGUAUACAGAUGCAGAUUGGGCAGGUUCUAUCACUGAUCGGCGAUCUACAUCUGGUUACUUUACAUUUGUGGGUGGUAAUUUGGUUACUUGGAGAAGCAAGAAACAAAAAGUGGUGGCUAGGUCAAGUGCAGAAGUUGAGUUUCGUGGUAUGUCGCAUGGUGUAUGUGAGUUGUUGUGGUUGAAAAAAUUGUUGAGAGAUCUUGGGUUUAAUCCCUAAGGUGUUAUGAAACUUCAUUGUGAUAACAAGGCUGCUAUUGGGAUUGCUCAUAAUCCAGUGCAACAUAAUCGAACAAAACAUGUGGAGAUUGAUCGACAUUUCAUUAAGAAAAAAUUGGAUGCUGAAAUUAUUAUGUUUCCGUUUGUGAGAUCUGAAGAUCAAUUUGCUGAUGCUCUUACUAAUGUUGUGUCUAAUAGUGUGUUUUCCAACUCGUUUGACAAGUUGGGCAUGCGUGACAUCUUUGCACCAACUUGAGGGGGAGUGUUGCGAGUUAUAUAUUAGUUAGAAUUUAAAUAGUAGUUUAUUGUGCCACAUUGGUGAAGUACAUAUGUAAUACCAAUUGUAACUCCUAUAUAUAUUCCACUUUGGAGAUUAAUGAAUAUAUUAGAAAUUCCCAAAUAUUGUCAUAUAUAUAUUUUUAGUAUUUACCAUGUUUAGUUUAAUAUUGGUAUUUACCAUAUUUAGUUCAAUAAAUUGAGUUUCAUCGCCUUUGCCUACAACCCUCCCAUUUCCUCUGCCCAUUGGUCUAACUCUUCCUCUACCUCCUCCCCACUGAAUGAACAAGAAACGCUGGCUCGCUCGCUCUAAAUUUGGGUUGUGAUCAUGAAAUAAAUGAAACAAUAGGAAAGUGUACUCUAUCAAUUAAGAAAUGACACCCAAAACGUCCUCCUUCUCAUCCUCCUCGCCACCAACAAUAUGCCUGACGGUAAUACGGGUGGAGGAACUCGAAUUAUUCGAAUUCGAGAGGUGGCUGGCCACAAAGCGACUAUCAAUCAGAUCACGCCAGGACUCGUGGACGCAUUUGAACCGCAUCAGGGGAUUUAGGUGGCAACAUUGACAGGAUUUGCGCCACCAUAUCAUCCGACAAUUUGCAGAAAUUUGCCAUUAAUUAACUAAUUAAUGAAUAAUUUACUUGUACUCCUCCUCUUCAUCCAUCUCUACUUUCCUUUAAUCUUGAGCAAAACAAACCGGAACGAUGAUCACUGAAACUGUUACCUUGAUUUUUCGAUAGCGUCGACAGCGUUGAGACCAGGAAGACCCACUCAAAUUCCUCUCCGCGACACGAGCGACUGGGAAUCCUUCGUUUUCGAGCAUUCCUCGGCUUGUUCCCUUCGUCCUCUCCGCUUGACAAAAUCGUAGGAUUCCCACCCCAACUGGAUUGCAUGGCAAUGAAGCACCAAACCCAUUGAGAGAUACGAGAGGUCGGCGACUCGACGCAAGCUCGAAGAAGAAAGGAGAAAGUGUAGUUGUUGGGCAGUUGAAAUUACACAAAAAUCCUUAAUAACGGGUCUAAACGGGUUUCGCGGGUUCACCCAAAAUGACCCGUUAACCAUCCGACCCGUUUAUCACCCAUCCGAAUACUUAUUUUAACGGAUCAGGUCGGAUCGGGUUAACGGAUCGGGUGAAAAAUGUUAGGUCUAGCCUCUGACGACGGUAGUCUAUGUGUUUUAGUCAACGCCAGUCAACGCAUACUGACAAUGCUCCGUAGGGUUUCUCUUCGUUUCCAAAUACUGGUCUUGCUGUUUGCCGCCGUGACGCUCGCUCUUUCUGUUUUGUGUAAACGGGUUUGGGCAUUGGGUCGAGCAUUUGGGCUUUUACGAACUAAAAAAUAUUCGCAAGGUGUUUUUUCCUUUUUGGUCCGUCUCAAUAAUAUUCUGCUUAAGUGCUUUCCGAAAGGCUAAAAGUGCUUCAAAAAAUUAAAAGUGCUUCUUACGAUAUUUAGCAAAGAAAUAUUGUGUGUUUGCAGAUUAUGAAUAUUAAUUUUUUCCUAGAAAGUAGCAGAUAUUGAGUGUUUUCUUAAAGAAGCACAGGUUGAGUGCUUCUCUAAACAAGCAUUUGGAUUUUAAUUGACACACUUGUACCAAAAGCACUUCUAUUGAUUAAGAGAUGUAAUUUCGAGUGAAGCAUCUAAGGGGCCCUUCAAGUUGAGAACUUCUAUAACACAAGUACACUGCUAUUGUAGCGUGCCUGCAUUUGAAGUUUUUCUGCACACUAUAUCAGCCUGCAUAAGUACUCCAAAGUUAAACGCGUGCAUUUGAAGUUCUUCUGCAAGUUAUAUCAGCCUGCGGAAGUAAGUCUUUUUAACUUUGGUUUCAUGAUUAUAUCCAUACAUUUUGAACACAAAGAAUAUCAUAUCAUGUAACAUAAAAAAUAUCAUAUAUCAAUUCAGAAGCCCGCUGAGUAGGUUGUCAAAACAUCAUUCCGCAAAGAGAGAAACAAAUAAAGCAAUUAAAAGAGCUGCAAUCAUCAAGCAAAUUUGACACUUGAUGCAUCCAGAACAUCUUCUCCUUUGUCAUAAAUCUACAACCAUAUCUUACAUACAAGUUCGGUAUCCUACUUCCAAGACAAACAUCAAAAAUUCAAUCCGCUAUCAAAUUUUCCUUCACCUAGUCAGCAAUCGCCUUCUGUUUAAAAGUAAUGAACUAUUCAAAAUUAAGUUCCACCUUAAAUACGAGACCAGUGGUGUAAGGAUAACACUGAACAAAAUGAGAGGAGUGAUUAGUAUCUCAAACUAUGCACAAAAAGGAUGAAGUUAGUGCUGCUGUAAGAACAGAUCAUGUGGCUUUCAUUUGCUUGAUUGGGAACUUCUCUUCAGCUUGCUUUUGCCACAUAUAAUUUGCAACUUCAAUCCACUGUUUAUCAACUAAAAACUUCUUUUCUUUGACCGCCCAUUUAGACUUCUCUAUGCCAGCAUCUCUUGAAACCACAUGUGUCACCGAUGGGUCCACUUGUGUCGAACAAGAGGCUCCCAACUGCUCUGCCAUCUUCCAGAGAGGUUGAUUCUCAGCAUCGACAUUCGAAGGAAAUUCGUGGCUGAAAAAAAUUUUACACCCCUUUAACACAUCCUUCUUAACAGUUUUUAACACCUACAAAAAUAGCAUCCAGAAGAAUCCACAUUAAAUAUAUGAAGCUAAAGGAAAUAGUCAUGUUUUAGUGGCUCUGAAAAAACUUGUUCACCUGUCUCACAUCUCUUUCAACAAGAUUAUCCUCCAAUUCCUACGAGAUGGCCACCAACAAUAGAUUAGCACACAAAGAAAGUGUAACUUUUUGCCAUCAUGGAGACAUAAAGUGGUACUUACACAUGGUUCAUCCUAAUGCUAUAUAAGUUAGGUUACUGAUUUGUUUCCUCAUUUCUUCAUUGGUGAUUUGUAUUUUCGGUGAUUUUAAGAAUGGGUAAUAAGUUUUUGUCAAGAGUUAAUGUGUUCAGUUUCAUUUUCUCUAAUUUCUGUUCUAUAUGGUUUUGUGUCUUGUGAUUGGAGUGUCAUGUGAUUAGAGGUUCUAAAAGACAAACAUGACUUUUUUUUAUUUUGUCAGAUGAGGGGGGAGCAAGUUCUGUUCAAAAUUUGGGUUUUCCGAUGGCUUGAAAGAAAUUAUAUCACUAUUGCUAUUACAAGUGUCCAGUUUGCAGAAAUGACAAGGCAUGCUACAAUCUAUGCUUCUUUGGUAGAUUUGAUUCAAAUUGGUAGAUUUCGGUAAGAAAUAAACUUUUAUCUUUUCUUUUAGUUAAAGAAAGUUAGGACAUCAAUUUGUAAAAGAUAUGAAUAUUAACAAUGGUGAUAGAACCGCCAAUCCAUAUAGUUGUAAAUAGAUUUCCACAUAUAUGUAAAUAGUAUUGCAUAUCGUGUGUAUUUAUAACUUUCUACAUAUUUUAUACAGUUUUAAACCAGCAGCAUCGCGCGGGCACCGUUGCUAGUUAUCUAUACUAAAGCUCAAUAAGAAAAACAUUGUUCUUAAGUACAACGAAAGGACAGAAAAGCCCCUAUUUAACUAUUAUUUUUCAGUGUUAUUUUUUUGCUGCAUAGUGAAAUGGCCAAAAUGGCCCUGCCCCUUCAAUUUGUCGACCCACCGUUUCUCUAGAUACUUCCCAGUUCCCACAUCGUUUUUCUCACCGUGCUGCUUGCCUCUACUCUCCCCGUCUUCCUCGUCACCUCAUCUACUAAAUUCUCUUCGAUUCUACCAACCGUCGCUACCGUUCAGACUUUCCCAAAGGUAAAUUCUUUUCUCUUCCUUACACAAUUUGAUAUUGAUUUUGAAAAUAGUGAAAACCCCAUAAAACAAACUGACUUUCUCAACCGAAGAUUAUGAUAUAUGUUUCUAAGCGGUUUCCCUUCGGAAGAUUUUCAAAGAUGUUACUGUCCGUCCUUUUAGUUGUUAAAAUCUGUUUGUUUGAGUUGUACAUAGAACUCUUAACGUAGAAUUAGUAAAAUGCAGGUGCAGAAUGAACGACUAAUCAAUGUGGGAAAAUGUAUAUAACUGUAACUUAGAAAUCUCCCAUUUUGAUUGCACAUAUGCUCUUGAUGUAAAGUAAAUAAAAUGUAAUGUAACUUAAAGAUUGAUUUUACCAGGUUGGUUUAGCUGUUCUGUUAAUUUUUGAAAUAUUUAGAAACAAAUGGGUUGAUUUGUGAUUUUAUGGAAUUUUCAGAAGUAUUUAUUAUGUGUAUAGUGAUAAAUAUAUGUGUUUGUGAAUGCAAUUAAGCUGUUGAUAGCUUUUGAGUAUCAAUCGAUUAUUUUGUACUGUUUUUCAAGCUUUCUCUCUUUUUUUGGGAAAUGACGCAAAUUUGCUAUAAACUAUGAAUUUAAAACCCGCAGCGGAGCGCGGCACUUUUGCUAGUUUUGACCUAGAAGCAAAUGGAAACGGGAAACGUAAUUCCAACUACUUAGUUGAAAACAUUGAAUUUGAUCUCGAGUAGAAAUGUUAUACAAAGCAAACUUAUAGAGCCCCAUUAUUGUAAUACAACAUAACAAAUGCUGAGGCACCAAAAAUCAUAAAAAAACAAGACGUUGGCCUUGAAGGCCCAAACAUUUCUCUAGCCGGUAGAUACAUCAAGCUAAGUUCGGCGUCCCCUCGUCACCCGUGCAGUUGUUGACUUCCUCUUCCUCCUGAAUGUCUCCACAAACCAUUCAUGCUUCUUGUCUGCCAACGUGUUUCCAGCAACCACUCCCACUACUAGUCCGCUAACAACUCCCGGCAAAACUACGUACCAGUCAAACUCAAAUGUAAAUCCAGUCUCUUCAUCUUCUUCAAAGCUUGAUGGUGGCGGCAGCCUUGAGCUUUCAGAACCCUCGCAUUUCUUGGACAAAGGCUUUCCACACAGACCUAAGUUUCCUUGGUAUGAAUCUUCUAGGAAUGUACCAAAUUGUUGGCCAAGUGGUAUUUGCCCCCAAAGGUGGUUAUGCGACACAUUGAAAUACUCAAGGAAAGUGAGUUGUGCCAAGCUACCGGGGAUCAUUCCUGAGAGCUUGUUUUGAGAGAGAUCCAACGAUUCAAGAGCAGUUAAGUUCCCUAGAGAUGAAGGGAUGUGACCAGAGAGAGCGUUGUUGGAGAGGUUUAGCAACUGAAGUUCUCUUAGACUCCCAAUGAUACCCUCUGGAAUCUCUCCUUCAAAUCUAUUACUUGAGAAAUCUAUAAGUCUCAUAUCAUAAGGGGUAUAAUCAUAUGUCAACUUAACACCUUUUACUGGAAUUAUCAUAUUAUAUGAAUCUACAAUGUAAUUUCCAUAUUUAUUUGUGCUGCUGUUCAGUGAGACUAGAAAGUAUCGGCUUCCCUUGUUUGCGACAACAUAUUUCAUGAAAUUCCAGUUCUCUAUGUACUUAGAAGGCAACAUACCUGAAAACAGAUUGUUGGAUAAAUCAAUUAUGCACAAGUUUGGGAACUCAUGAUUAGUUGGAGGCUUCCCAAUUAUCCCAUGAAAUGCAUUCGACCCCAAAAUGAGACCCCUUAAUACUGGAAGUACCCCUAACCAAGAAGGGAAGAUGUCACUGAUCUGAUUGUUGCCAAUGUUAAGAAACUCUAACUGAGUGCAAUCGGCCAUUGAUCUCGAUAGCUUCCCCUGUAACAAAUUGUAACCCAACGAAACCAAUUUCAAACUAUUUUUGUUAGCACAAAAUGGGGGAAUAUCGCCAUGGAAAGAAUUAUAAGUCAAGAUCAGCAUUUCCAAGCUACUGGACUUCCCCAAACACCGUGGAAGCAUGCCACUCAGGCUGUUGUUGGCCAAAUUAAGAACUUGAAGAUAAUUCAAGUUGCAGAACAAUGGUGAAACUUCUCCACUAUAAUUAUUGUUGCCGACAACGUAGGACGUGAUAGAUUGUGGUGGAAUUGGCAAUGACCCUCGUAACCGAUUGGUCCCAAGACUAAAAAUCUGCAGAUUUUUCCAUGGAAGAGUGACUGGAUUUUCCUCAAAGCCUGUUAAGAAGUUUGAAGAGAGGUCGAGAUUGACCAGAGUUUCUCUAGUUCCAUUCCAAAGCCAUUUUGGUAUUUGGCCAUGAAUGUUGUUACCAGAAAGGCCUAGGGAUCCCAAUUCGUAUUGAUUUUUCAAAAAUUCUGGAAACUCUGUCAAGUUGCAUUCAGCCAACUCUAGAAAUUCGAACUUUGGAAGAGUAGCACUCGAACUAGAUUUGACACGCACAGAUAACUUGUUGCCCCCUAAACCAAGUACCUUCAACUUUUUGAGGUUGGAAAACUCAUCAAACUCAACUAAUCCACUCAAAUUAUUAUUGGAAAGGCCAAGACGUUCAAGAUUUCUGAGGUGGAAAAGCGACUUAGGAAUUGCUCCUUGCAAAUCGUUAUAGGUGAGCCGCAGAAAAGUUAAUUGGGUCAACUCUAAUGUGAGCCAAGAUGGGAUUUCACCAGUUAUUGAAUUGACAAACAAGUCUAGAAACACAAGUUGGGUGAGGUUAGCCACAAAACGUGGGAAAUUCCCUUGUAAGUUAAUAUGCGAAAGACGCAAGUGGUUGAGCUUGGUUAAUUUUCCAAAACAAGACAAGGAAUCAGGAACUAAGAAUUGGCCUGCGGAAACGUCAUGAAAUGAAUCCAUCUUAAGGAAAUUGAGCUGGGUAAGGUUUCCAAAUGAAGAUGGAACAUGGGAAUCAAAACCACAGUAUGAGAUAUCAAAGUAAUUUAAGGAAUGAAGGUUUCCGAUAGAACUAGGAAGUUUACCAGAGAAAUUUGUCUCUGAAACAUCUAAUGUUUUGAAGGAAUUGGUCCUGUUAAAAGUAGGAAAAUAACCAUUUAGGUCUGUGUUCGAGUACAAUCUAAGCUCCUCUAAAUUUGGUAGGUGGAAAAUGCCUACUGGGAAUUCCCCAUACAACCCACAAGAGCUUAGAUUGAGAGAUGUGAGAGAAGAUGCGUUGACCAAGAUAUCAGGCACAGUGGAGUAUAUGCCUACAUCACUAAGAUGAAGUUGUUUUGCUGGUCAAGUUUUGGACUAGGAUUCUCAUGAUGGACUUCCUAAGCUCCAAACCAUUAUUGUAAGACAGAACAAGGGUAGACAGUUUGGAUAGCUUUGAAAUUUCAGAUGGAAUUUGGCCAGAAAAUGCAGACCUUGAAAGGUUGAGAUAGGAUAGACUCGAAAGGUCAUGGCCCAAUCUCGAUGGUAUUUUAGAGGAAUUGAAGUUGUUAUCUGAGAGGUCAAGCUUCUGCAAGUGAACAAGUCGGAAGAGGGUGAUGUUGGAAUUGAUAGAACCAUAGAGACAGCUACUCUUGAGGUCAAGGCCAAUGACACGGCCAGACUCCGCAUGGCACUCAACACCAUCCCACGAACAACAGUUACUCUGAUUUUGAUCUCCUUCUCGAGCCCAAGAUGCAACCUUUGGAUAAGCAAAAGGAGAUCCAGAAGCUGACUUGUCUAUCGUAAAGCUUUCCUUGAAUUGUAACAAGAAGGAAUGCUCGUCAGUGUGGCAAAGUGUCCGUGUCUGAGUCUGCACAAAUGAAAAACAGUGAGUAGCAUUGAGUAAUAGCAAAAGAAGACAAUGCAAACAGGUAAACUUGGACAACAAAGAAUCCAUUUUCAUGGCAGUGUGUUUUUCUAGUUAUUGGAAAUAUUGUUUUAUGGCUCUCGGAUAAUUAAGAGUGGAGAAGUUAACUCCUUUUAUAGACACAACUCAUGCAAAGCAUAAAUAAAUAAAUAAAGUAUGAGUCAAUCGAUGAGUGGGUGGUGAAUUGAUGUCUCGAUCAAUUGAAGACUUGGAAUUCAGUCAUCAUUUGCAUGUAAUAAUUGCAAACUCGAUCAUUUAAUUUUAUCUGUGCGCUCGUUUGAUCUUAAAGAAUGUGAACGUAGUACUUUGAGCAGAUAAAAUCAGGUGAUCGCUAUCACUUGAAGACUUGAAGUCAAGUCGUCGUUUGCAUAUGUGACUCAUCGCCACGCUUAUUUAUCUUUUUAAUACAAGUUCUAAUUAUGUGUAUAUAUACUCCUUAACUCAAUUUAUUUAUCGUUACACUUAUUUAUCUCUUGUUAAUUACUUGAGUUGAAGUUCGUCCAUGUAGUAGGAUUUACUAUGUAUACACACAAUUUAUUCAUAGUACGUGAAUAUUAAUUAAUUUAGUUUUUAAUUUAAGGUUAGUGUUUUAUUUUCUCGUGCUUUGCACACAUAACAAACAAUUAGUUGUCACUCCUACUAAUAAAAAUGUCACCGAGGCUGCUAUCUCUGUCACAAACAGAGUAGCUUUUGUUCCACUAAUCAUGGGCAUGAGGUCUCGUGAACCAGAUUAUAAGCCACUGAUCAUCAACAUAAACGUUCUUGUAAAGCUAACCAUGCAUUCAAAGUGAUUCAUUUUAUAGAUAUUUUUGGAUGCGCACAAUAUUAAUUAUAUAUUGCAGGAUGUAACAUGAUUCAUUUUAUAGAAAACUAUAUUUUAAUCCUUAAAUAAGAUAAAAUUAAGAAAAAUGUCUUAUACAAGAUUAAAAUUUGAUUUUAGUUUCUAGACUCUAUUUAAUGUUAGCAUAUGUAAUAUUCAAUGUCUCUCUGUUUUAUUUAUAAUUUAUAAUUCUCAUUAUGGUAAGUAUAUUAUAUAAGAAAAUAUUUUCGUAGAGAUUUUUCGGUACACUUAUGUUUUUCCAUAUUUUAUUAUGUGUCACUAAUUCAUUACAAUGUAUUUAGAUAUGAACAUUUCAGUACACUUAUAUUUUUCCAUAUUUUCUUAUGUACCACUAAUGCACAGCCCGUCUCGGAAUUUUAAUUAUCAUGGACGUGAAAUGACGGAAUUGCCCUAGCGGGUGUUGAGGUAUGUGUAUGUGACAUAUUAUUUGAUCUAAGUAUAUACAUAAUCCAUAAGUUUUUAGGAAAUGUUUUAUGUGGACUAAAAUGGAUAUGUAUGUUUGUGUGGUAGGGGUUAUUUUGCAUCAUACACAACCUACCCUUCUCUCUCCCUCCCCCCGUGUCUCUCUCUCCUCCCCACGGCUUCCUCUCUCCCUCACUCUCGAAUUGUACAGACGAGACCAAAACCCUCCAAACCUCCACGGAUCGACGCCAAAAAGGUAUGGUUCUUCAUCCCUUCAACCUCCUGAGUUGAAUGGUACUAAUUUUAGAACCUAGAACCCUCUGAAUCGUCGUGAAACCCUAACCCCGAAAAUGUGCACUGUUCAUGCACACGUAAAUUCUUGAUUUUCAGGGAAUUCUAAGUUUGUAGUGAGAUUAGUGAGGUCCUAAGGAAGCUCGGGGACGUUCGUUUGAAAGUUUGGACGUCGGAGGACUGAGAACAGAGCUUUUCAAAUUUGGCGGAAUUAUCGAGCUUUCUCAGGUAAAAUCUAGUGGAUUUUAGACCUUAAAACUAGUCUAUCGAUUCUACAUGUUGAGGGCUUCAAAUUGAUAUAAAAUACGAAGAAAAUGGUUUAGAAUUGAAGGAGAACAAGGCAUUUGAAAAUUGCCCAGUUUUCCAACCACUGGAAAAUUCAGUCCGGCGAACCAAGGUAAGGGGUGAUGCACGUGGGGGCGCGUAGACCCGUGCUUGCCUUGGCGCGUAGGGGCGUGUGCCACUUCAAAAAAAAUUUCUAAAAAUUUGUCGACAUCCGUGACGUCGAGUAGGUCACUGUGGUAUAUUCAUAUACCCAAAUUGAGCACCGUAUGAGAAGUUAUUACGAAUUAUUGGUAAUGUGUUUUAAAUAACGUUUUUAUAGUUGUUUCGCAUAUAGGUGACACCUAUACCGAGGACGAGCGUAUCCAGGGACGUCACGGGGGUUACGACCCUUCAACUUAUCAGUGAGUGGGCAGUAUUUUUCUGUAUUUACCUAUAUGCUAUCUAUUUUUCCCAAAAAUCGAAAUUUAAUGAAAAUAUGUUUCUAAAAUGCCAUGCAUGCAUAUUAUGAAUUAUAUGAAUGAAUAAUUGAUGCAUAUAUAUGUGAAAUGGUGCUGAGGAUGCACAGGUGAGUAUCAGAUAAGUUUUACGUUAUUUAUGUGAAUCAUUGAUGAUGUGAUUGUGUUGAGAGCUCAUAACCUGCACCCUUGGUAUUAGUGUUUAUAGUAUUCACCGCACCGUACGCUCACCUUGGAUCCAAGUAGGUGCAUGUCGUACAGACCAUAUGAGGGUUCCGACAUGCUAGUCGUACAGAUCAUUGAGGUGAUUCCGACUGGUAGGUGACUUUAGAUUAUGUGCACAGAUGAUUGAUGAGAGAAGCACUAUAGCGUAUUCUUACACCAUUCUUGUCGUAUAGACUACUUCAGGUAGUUCCGACUUAUGUGCAGUGUAGUGUCGUACAGGUCACCGUGGUGACUCCGGCAGUGCCGUAUAGGUCAUAGUUGUGACUCCGGCUGGUUUGGAUGUUGAGCUUUAGAAUCAGCCGUACAGGACCACUUUAGGGUCUCUGGUUGAUUUAUUUUCACCUGAUUCAUAUUGAUGCAUCCAUAUUCUGUUUUGGCAUUUAUAGCAUGGCAUGACUUCUGGAUUUGGAUAUAGAAUGAUGAUUUGAGUUAUAUGAGGAUAUAUGUAUACUAUUAUGCUAUUUUCUGGGAAAAGUAUAUAGGUUUUACAGUGAGGGGUUAGAAUUGUUUUUGGCGAAAUGAUUUUGAAAAGCUUUGGUUUUUCUAACCCACUCUAUCUUGUUUUUCGCCCCUCCAGGUUCUAGUUAGCUGCGUUGAUAGCCCACGAGGAUUUCUUCGGAGUUCUGACAGACUUCUUUAAUGCAGGACUCACCUGCGUGUGUUGUAUUUUAGUUAUGGUCCUACUUGACUGCAACUAGUGUUUAUGCUUUGUUUAUGUGUGUGUUCACACUUUAAUUCACCCUAGCAUGUUAGUAGGUUAUAUUUACUAGUAUUUGGUUUUAAUUCCUUCGUACUUCUUUUAGCUUCUGCUUCCGCACCGCAAUUAUGGUUACGUCACGCUCACGUGACGGCCAGCACGCCUUGAUUCUAGGAUCGGGGUGUGUCAACUAAUUCAUUACAAUAUAUUUAGGUAUGAACAUUUCGGUACACUAGGUUAGUAUAAUAUAUUUAGGUACGGACAUUUCGGUACACUAGUUUAGUAUAAUAUAUUUAGGUACUAACAUUUCGGUACACUAGUUUAGCAUCAUAUAUUUAGGUAUGAAAUUUUUUUGGUACACUUAUGUUUUUGCAUAUUUUCUUAUGUGCCACUAAUUCACUACAAUACAUUUAUGUACAGACAUUUCGGUACACUAAUUUUGUAAAAUAUAUUAUGAUACAAACGUUUAGGUACACUAAUUAGAUGAAGUAAAAUAAAAUUAAUGAAUUAAAAUAUGUAUCAUAAUACAUUUCAAUUUUAAUGUAAUGUAAUGACAUUAAAUAAGAUAUCUAUUAAAUAUUAAAAAAACUGUAAUAUGAAUUUGAAUUAAGUACACAUUAGAGGACUAAAAUCAAUAUCCAAUCUAACACCAGGUUUUUAUUGAAUUUUAAUCUUCUUCAAGGAUUAAAGUUCAAAAACCCCUUAAUGUUAAUGUCGUAAGAUUAUUGAUUACUAUGCGGUAGUACCAAUUUUGUCUGAAGUAAUGAAUCAUCCUUUUAUAGACUUCAUCUACCUUUUCGCGAGAGUUGUGAGACUUCUCCGAAUGAUCAUAUUCAUUCAUGGAAUGACACAUCAUUUAUAGAAGGGUAUAACCUCUAUCAGUGGUGGAUCCAUGAUUUUAGUGUCAGGUGGUCCCAAUUUAAAGCUCCAAAAAAGAAAGACCAAAAUAACAUUGAAAAAAUAAAUGACAAAAUCAAUACCAUUUAUCCGUCUACUAAAAUAAAAAUAAGUACAACUACAUAAUAUAUAACGCAUGUAGUUAAUGUGAGACUAUCAAGACUCUUGUCAUUAAUACAUAGAUAAACAUGGUGUUGAUCACUUGAGUAACAAGUUCUCACAACAUGAACUAAUAAAUAAAUCAUGCACUCCAAAAAAUAACUUGCAUAACUAAAUCCUAAUUAGGGUUUUGGGAUCAAAGAGAACAAUGGAAGACGUUCGCAAACCUAAAGGUUAAAAGUUAUUAAAUUUGGAGAUCUUUUAAUCAUUCAUAUACAUAAAACAAAUAAACAGUUCAUUAUGAAUAUACUACUUGUUACUAAAAAUGUUGAUUGGCUUGACAUGAAUGAAUGAAUGACUAAAAGGUCUCUGUAUUGAAGGAUUUUUGCAUAUACGAUUAUGAUAAUGAGAAUAAACAGUUUCAAUAUGAUAUUCGUACAGUGAAGAUACAUUAAUCGUAAGUGAGGGGACAAGCAUUGUCCAAAAAAGUGUGUGCUUAUACUUGUACUCCUUGGGAGAUGAGCUCAUUCUUCCACUUACAAAUAAAGUAUCUUGACAGUAGAAAUUUCAUAAUCAAAACCGUUCAAUUUCUUAAUCUUCAUUUGAAAAUCAUCUCUGUAAAUAUCAGUCGAAUUAGAUAUUGUUUAAUCAUCUAAAUGUAACAAAUAAAUCAACAGUUUAUAUUGUUUAAUCAUCUAAAUGUAACAAAUAAAUCAACAAUUUAUCAUAAAUAUUUUAGGUGGUACUUACACUGUUAAUUUGUUUGAUACAUUUGGAUCUAAACGACCUCUGAUUCAAAUGAUUUUCUUGUGGAGAUGAUUUUAAGAUAAAGAUUAAAAACUUGAAAUGUUCCAUUUAUAAAAUUGAUAUUGUAAAGAUUCACUAUUUGUAAGCGGAGAAAUAAGCUGACUCCAAAAAGCGAACACAAGUAUUAUUCUUCACAAAACAUACGCAAAAAAAAUAUGGGAAUGAGUGAUGAGUAAUUGAGUGGUGACAAAAAAGAAAUGAAAAAGAAAACCGAACAAGGAGACGAUAAAGUCAAUAAAAUGCCGAUCUCGAUCACUCGAAGACUUGGAAGUCAUAUGAGUCGUUUGCAGGUAAACAUCUCUAGCUAACCUACAAGUCUACCAUUAAUGUUGUUGCUACUUAUUGGCAUUGGGUAUCAGGCAAUUGUCUCAGUUGAAGUCAAACUAUUAAGGCCAAAUUUGCCUUGUCCCACAUGAUAAGGCAUCGCUAAUUAGUAAUUACCACUCAUGUUCUUGUCAUAAUAAAUACUAAAAGUGAUAUUAAGAAAAAAAUAGAAAUUGCAUUUAUAAUUCAGUAAUACAAAAGACCAACACAAGGGUUACAUCAAUAGCAUCUUAAACAUCUAGAGUUCCUCCGGCCACAGUAGCAAAAGCGUUGCGGACAAGGAUUGUUUGCCCUCCUUAUUCCCGUGCCCUCCCAUGCCUUUCUAUUUGUGUGGUCAUGGUUAAGCUACGUCAACAUUUUAUAUUACUAUUCAUUUUUGUCUUAUUAUCUAUAUAAAAAAAACAAUAUAAAAUGUUGACGUGGUUUAACCGUGACCACACAAAACAGGAGGGCACGGGAGAGCACGGGAACAAGGAGGGAAGACAAUCCUUGUCCAAGGGUUGCAUCAAUAGCAUCGAAACCCGAAAUUACGUACUUCUUUGAUGAACAACAACUACUCAUCCCAUCUUCUUCUUGCGUCCAAGAUGUAACUUUUGGAUUGAAGAAGGUUAAUGUUCCACCAUAUGAUAAGGGGAACUUUAACGAAAAGCUCCUGAUACUGUUCACUUUAACGAAAAACCACAUUUUUACAUUAAAAAGUCAAUACUGAUACUAUUCACUUUACCUUUUAUUUUGUCCUUAUCGUUAAAACUCAAAGUUUUUAAGCUCUUUUCAUUAGUUUUCUUUAUGAUACAACUAAUUGAUUAGAUAUAAUGACGUGUGUGUAGUAGGAGAGAUAACUGUGUGGUUAUUAUUUCCCAAAAGGAUUGGGGAAUAAAUUGGUAUGAAUUCAUUAUUCACGAAAUUUGAGCCUAAAAUCUCUUAUUUACAAUAAAAAAGUAAUAUCACUAAACCGAAAUACUAAAUAACUUCAUUUCUCAAAAUUAAAAACUAAAAAUUUAGGUUAUCAAACGAACUCUUAUUUUUUUCAAAUUAUGAUGUAUGUUUUCGUUUUUUUUUUUUUUUAAUGUCCUAAUUAAAUAUGCUUAGGAUCUCACAUAAUUAAGGGUGGAGAAAUCGACGUCCCUUUUUUGUAGACAGUAUAUACAAAGUUGUUUCUUUCAAUGAGCUUGGGGAGCUAUGGACUACAAAAAAUAGUGAUCAUAAUUCUAAACAUACAAGAAGUCAAGAAGGUGGAGAAAUGGGCGCUGAUAAGGGGAACAUAAUAAUUUGCUCAGACCGUCACUUGAAGACUUUAAGUCAAGUCAUCGUUUGAUAAGAUCAGCCCAUCGCCAUCACUUGAAGACAUGAAGACUUGUUCGACAAAAAAAGAAAAAAAGAAAACUUGAAGACUUGGAGUCAAUUCAUCGUUUGCAUGUAAUAAUUAUUAUGUUCACCUUUGAACAAAAGAAAAAAAACCCAUCUCACUGUAAGAUUGAAAAUUUCUGUACUCAUAUCUAAAGUCAAAAUCUUAACAUAUACAAGUAAAAAUUUCACCGGUGUUCUAAGCUAGUUACAAAUACCAUACCAUUAUUCAUCCGACCCCCUUAAUUAUAUACUAAUCAGAAGGGGCUUAUGGGUGUUUCGAUCACCAAGGCACGUAACCUACAGAAAUAAAAAGAAAUGCAAAUAUGAUAAGGAGAGCUACUUUUCAGCACAAAGAAGUAAAGGAAGAAGCAAAAGAAGGCGUCUGUGGAGAUAGUCUUUACGGCAAGUGAAACAUUCUAUAUAUAUCAUUGUCAGAAGCACGAUUUGAGAGUGAAUCCGUCAUUAAUUACUCUUGUUACUAUUCUCCAAUAGGCUUUUUCAUGUUUCCACUCAAUUUUCAUUACGCAGAUGUAUUAUGUCAAGCUGAGUCCUCUCCGAACCGCAGGAGAUAGUUGCCCAUCAUGCAAAGUGACUUUUGGUUCUCACCAAUCUGUUCAUUUUCUUUCCACCAUUACUAGUCAUCCCCUAGCAAAGUUGUCUCCUAAAGGGAAGGAUUUGAUCAUGAUACGAGAGAUAGAGAUGGAAAAGUACAUGAUUUUAUAGGCUAGGGUUUAAUAUUUUUAUUUUUCUUUAAUCAUCAAGAAAAAAAAGGUCAUUGGAUCAUCGUGGUUUAACUUGUUUUCUUUGAUACAUUCGAUAUUUUCAUGAAAAUAUCCAAAAAAUCAUAUAAAGUUACGGAGAUGGGGGGUGAAGUCUAAACUUCACUUUAUAUCAAAGAAACUCUUAAGUUUAGGAUAAAAUCGACAUAUAUCGUCGAUAUUUUGUAUACACCUGUUAAAUAUCGAAAAAAAAUCUCAUAUUUUGUCCAAAUCAAUGUUUAAGAAUUCCCAAUGUUUCAUUUUAAAUUUUCAUUAUUUCCAUAGAAAGCAACCAAUAUUCAAUAUGUCCGUCGAUAUUUCCACAAAUUUGCUUAUUGAUAUUUUCACGGUUACUGAUAUUGUAAGCAUUGGUUGUAACAGAUACAACAAAAAUACCUUUGGGUGAAGCUUCCUCCAACUUGCGUCUCAAUUGUUUAGGAAUGAAACUAUAAUAAACACCUCCAACACUUUGUGGUAAUAGUCAAAGGCGUAUAAUUUGGUUCAAGACUAUAAGCCUUAAUCAAUUAGUAGCAAAAAUAUGGUUUCACACUAAUCCCAUGACGAGAAUAUUUGCGGUGAUAGUGAAAGGCGUGUAAUUUGGUUCAAGACUUCAAGCCUUAAAAGUGGAUCCAUGCAUACGACUAGAAGGGAAAUGGAAGAGGCAGGGAAAAGAGGUAAUUGGGAGCCGUCGACUCCGUUUAGUCCUCAGACUACUGUUUUAAUUUUUUUAUUUUUUAUUUUUACAACUUUAUUCUUUAAAAGGGUAAAAUGAAAACUUUGAAUUUUGCUAAGUAAUAACAGAUAAUUAAUUAAGUGCAAAUAGUAAAAAAAAUUAAUAUUAAGAAGAGGAGGGUUUGGAACUAUUUCAAUAAUUUGGAAAUUGAGAGUUUUAAACUCAGAAUGCAUGGGUAGAGAUCAAAUAACAUAUCCAAUAAGAUAUUUGAGCACAUGCAAGUGCAGAUAGUAAAUCCCAAGUCUUAUAGUGGUAAUAAUACCCUCUUUAGUAUUUGUUUUUCACUCUUUAGUUGACAAAAAAGAAUUUUUAUAGUAUCAAUAUAGAUAAACAUUUUUCUUCUAAUACAAUGCAUGAUUCAUUAAAAUUCACUGAGAAUAAAGGAAAGGAAAUAACCAUCUCAACCCACCCCCUCAGUUAGAAGUAUUCUAUAGAAAUUGUAUGUUUGUAUGUCAAUAUAUUUAGUUGCCAUGUGAAAUUGAUAGUGUGCGCGCUCACAUUGUAAAUCAUAUGUGCUGAUGUAGACAAUAAGAUGUGUGGUGAUCAGUUGCACUCAGUGGUACAAAGAUGAUCCUGGUUGGUAUAUAUGCGAUAGGGGAUCAUACGUAAGGGUGAUCAUGAUUGGUACAUCCGAGAUCGGUGAUCAUAAUUGGCUAAUUAUCAUAAUAAAACAAAUGUUUUGGGAGGUUUUGAAGGUUAUGGAAUGAGGAUGGAUGAGACAAAUUUGAACUUGUUACCUAUUUUGGAUACUCCUGAUUUGGUUGAUGGAUGAUUCUCCAUUGCUCACGUGUAGGAGACCCGGUACGCACCAAGGGUAAAUUUGUCAUCUUCACCCAAAAAUUCACGUGUCGCCUUAUGAUUAUUUUUGGCUCCACAGAUAUUAUGUUUGUAAAUUAGAGUUAUCAUGUUAUUGCUUGGAAUCCAGGUAGGGAAUUAUGGUGAGUUCCUUUAUUAAAUUGGUGAAAUGAUAUGUGAUUUUUUUGAUUGAUUAACGUAGUUAAAUGUUAAUAUUGUGCAUCUUUGAUUUGUUAGAUCGCUUAAUUGUUGUGAUUGUGGAUUGUGUUGGAAAAUAUUGUGAUAUAGGUGAAUGACAAUCUUGUUCACAUACGAUUUCAUUAUGUAGACGAAAAUCUAGCAAGGCAUACUCAAUUAUUGGUUCCCUAGUGUGAUUUUGGAACUCUACGUUCUUGCCAGUUAAUGCCUUGAGAAUUUUAGAGCUCAAAAGAGGGUGAAUUGCGAAUGGUUUGAUCCCGUUGUAAGAUAUAUAGAUAGUCUAACAUAGAUGUUCGAUGAUAAAGUACGCGGUGACGUCACUUGUCGAUCCUGGACGUAGCUCGGGAUCAGAGGGUGACAUAUAGACUCUUGCAUUUGAUCUCCCAUAAACGCUCAUGCACAUCACCAUCUAAAAAGGAAACAACCAUCUUCACCAUAUUCCUUUCCGGAAUUGGCUGUCUUAAAAAGUUUCUCUCAGUUGUAAAAAUUAGGAUACGAAUCGUUGUAUUGUUUGCAAGAGCACGAAGCUCAAACUAGGAAAUAUCAGAAUAGAAUUCUUUUUACUUUCUAAUUUAUUUAUGUUCAAUGACUUCAAUUAUUUCCCUAAAUCAAGAGUGUUUUGAUGAUUUCCCACUAAAUUAACAUAAAGGGCCAAUUUCCGCAUACGGCCAUGUUUCCCCGUACUUCAUCUAACUUUUUUUUUAAUUUCCGAAUUAAAUAUGCUUAGGAUCUCACAUAAUUAAAGGUGGAGAAAUUGACGUCCCUUUUUUGCAGACGGUAUAUACAAAGUUGUUUCUUUCAAUGAGCUUGGGGAGCUAUGGACUACAAAAAAUAGUGAUCAUAAUCUAAACAUACAAGAAGUCAAGAAGGUGGAGAAAUGGGCGCUGAUAAGGGGAACAUAAUAAUUUGCUCAGGCCGUCACUUGAAGACUUUAAGUCAAGUCAUCGUUUGAUAAGAUCAGCCCAUCGCCAUCACUUGAAGACAUGAAGACUCGUUCGACAAAAAAAGAAAAAAAGAAUUCUUGAAGACUUGGAGUCAAUUCAUCGUUUGCAUGUAAUAAUUAUUAUGUUCACCCUUGAACAAAAGGAAAAAAACCCAUCUCACUGUAAGAUUGAAAAUUUCUGUACUCAUAUCUAAAGUCAAAAUCUUAACAUAUACAAGUAAAAAUUUCACCGGUGUUCUAAGCUAGUUACAAAUACCAUACCAUUAUUCAUCCGACCCCCUUAAUUAUAUACUAAUCAGAAGGGGCUUAUGGGUGUUUCGAUCACCAAGGCACGUAACCUACAGAAAUAAAAGGAAAUGCAAAUAUGAUGAGGAGAGCUACUUUUCAGCAGAAAGAAGUAAAGGAAGAAGCCAAAGAAGGCGGCUGUGGAGAUAGUAUUUACGGCAAGUGAAACAUUCUAUAUAUCAUUAUCAGAAGCACGAUUUGAGAGUGAAUUAGUCAUUAAUUACUCUUGUUAUUGUUCUCCAAUAGGCUCUUUCAUGUUGCCACUCAAUUUUCAUUACGAAGAUGUAUUAUGUUAAGCUGAGUCCUCUCCGAACCGCAGGAGAUAGUUGCCUAUCAUGCAAAGUGACUUUUUGUUCUCACCAAUCUGUUCAUUUUCUUUCCACCAUUACUAGUCAUCCCCUAGCAAAGUUGUCUCCAAAAGGGAAGGAUUUGAUCAUGAUAUGAGAGAUAGAGAUGGAAAAGUACAUGAUUUUAUAGGCUAGGGUUUAAUAUUUUUAUUUUUCUAUAAUCAUCAAGAAAAAAAAGGUCAUUGGAUCAUCGUGGUUUAACUUGUUUUCUUUGAUACAUUCCAUAUUUUUAUGAAAAUAUCCAAAAAAUCAUAUAAAGUUAUGGAGAUGGGGGUGAAGUCUAAACUUCACUUUAUAUCAAGGAAACUCUUAAGUUUAGGAUAAAAUCGACAUAUAUCGUCGAUAUUUUGUAUACACCUGUUAAAUAUCGAAAAAAAAUCUCAUAUUUUGUCCAAAUCAAUGUUUAAGAAUUCCCAAUGUUUCAUUUUAAAUUUUCAUUACUUCCAUAGAAAGCAACCGAUAUUCAAUAUGUCCGUCGAUAUUUCCACAAAUUUUCUUAUUGAUAUUUUCAUGGUUACUGAUAUUGUAAACAUUGGUUUUAACAGAUACAACAAAAAUACCUUUGGUUGAAGCUUCCUCCAACUUGCGUCUCAAUUGUUCAGGAAUGAAACUAUAACAAACACCUCCAACACUUUGUGGUAAUAGUCAAAGGCGUAUAAUUUGGUUCAAGACUAUAAGCCUUAAUCAAUGAGUAGCAAAAAUAUGGUUUCACACUAAUCCCAUGACGAGAAUAUUUGCGGUGAUAGUGAAAGGCUAGUAAUUUGGUUCAAGACUUCAAGCCUUAAAAGUGGAUCCAUGCAUAUGACUAGAAGGGAGAUGGAAGAGGCGGGGAAAAGAGGUAAUUGGGAGCCGCCGACUCCGGUUAGACCUCAGACUACUGUUUUAAUUUUUUUUUUUACAACUUUAUUCUUUAAAAGGGUAAAAUGAAAACUUUGAAUUUUGCUAAGUAAUAACAGAUAAUUAAUUAAGUGCAAAUAGUAAAAAAAAUUUAGUAUUAAGAAGAGGAGGGUUUGGAACUAUUUCAAUAAUUUAGAAAUUGAGAGUUUUAAACUCAGAAUGCAUGGGUAGAGAUCAAAUACCAUAUCCAAUAGGAUAUUUGAGCACAAGCAAGUGCAGAUAGUAAAUCCCAAGUCUUAUAGUGGUAAUAAUACCCUCUUUAGUAUUUGUUUUUCACUCUUUAGUUGACAAAAAAGAAUUUUUAUAGUAUCAAUAUAGAUAAACAUUUUUCUUCUAAUACAAUGCAUGAUUCAUUAAAAUUCACUGAGAAUAAAGGAAAGGAAAUAACCAUCUCAACCCACCCCCUCAGUUAUAUACUAAAUAGAAGGGGAUCUUUGGUGUUUCAUUCACCACCACGGCAAGUGAAACACGACUCCACCUACAGAAAUAAAAUAAAAAAUUGCGAGUGUGAUGAAAAGUGACAACUUUUUUUCUUACCAAUUGAAACUUCAAAUUUUCUUUUUUUCAAGAUUUGAAACAUUUUAUUUUCUUUAUUUUUUUAUAGUUGAAAUUGACCCAUAUUUGGUCCUACAUCAGUCUCCUCCACUAGAAAAAUCUCACCCUUCAUCUUGAAAACAACUAGGGUUGAUAUGAAUCUUGAUGAGUCAAUAAUUUCUUCAAUUAGAGGAACCCAUUAUUCUUGGUAUUUAGUUGGAAUCACAAUGGCACCUUACUAUGAUAUACAUGUUUAUUGAGCUUCUAGUUGAUACGAAUGAUAUAUAUGAUUACUAGUAUGAAAAAUAUGAGCCUCGAACCUUAUUAGAAGUAUUCUAUAGAACUUGUAUGUUUGUAUGUCAAUAUAUUUAGUUGUCAUGUGAAAUUGAUAGUGUGUGCGCUCACAUUGUAAAUCAUAUGUGCUGAUGUAGACAAUAAGAUGUGUGGUGAUCGGUUGCACUCAGUGGUACAAAGAUGAUCCUGGUUGGUAUAUAUGCGAUAGGGGAUCAUACAUUUUCAAGGGUGAUCAUGAUUGAUACAUCCGAGAUGGGUGAUCACUGCUGCACGAUUAGACUACACAUAUGGUUUUGCUUGGUAAAUCUGCAAUGGGGGACCACAUACGCAUUCCAGGAGUGAUCAUGUGUUGGUAUAUCUACGAUGGGUGAUCACUACCUAAAGUUAGGAUGCGAUUCUGCUUGGCAUAUUCGUGAAGGGGCCCGUAAAUAUGAUAGUGAUCAUGCUUGGUAUAUCCGUGAUGGGUGAUCGCUGCCUGCACAAUUAGACUAUGCCUAUGGUUCUGCUUGGUGUAUCCGUAAUAAAGGAUCAUACGCAUUCUAGGAGUGAUCAUGUUUGGUAUAUCCGCGAUGGGUGAUCACUACCUAGAGUUAGGAUACGGUUCUGUUAGGUAUAUCCGCAAUGGGGGACCGUACAUAUAAUAGGGGUGAUCAUACUUGGUAUAUCUGUGAUGGGUGAUUUUUGCUUGCACUAUUAGACUAUGCCUAUGGUUUUGCUUCGUAUAUCUGCAAUGGGGGACCAUACGCAUUAUAGGAGUAACCAUGCUUGGUAUAUCCGCGAUUGGUGAUUACUACCUAGAGUUAGAAUUCGGUUCUGCUUGUUAUAUCCCCGAUUGAGGACCGUACAUAUGAUGGGGGUGAUCAUGCUUAGUGUAAUUGCAAUGGGUGAUCACUGCCUACCUAGGGUUGUGAGGAUUAGUUGUGCUGAUGCACAAAACCGGAGGUCUUGGAACAACGUAAAUCCGACCGUGAAUCUGCAAGAAAGUAAAUAACACAAGAUGUAUCGUGGUUCACCCCAAGAUUUGGGCUACGUCCACACUGAUAUUGUAUUCAUCUGAGAGGUGGGGGAGAGAAUGUGAGAGCCUCUGUAAUGAGAGUGAGGCUUUGAGAGGGGUAUGUUGGCCUCUUCUAAUUGUGAAGGUGAGGGAUCCUUUUAUAGAAUAAGGGCUCCUCAUUUAUUACAUAUUUGCCCCUCCAUUUAUUACAUAAUUACAUUGGAGUCCCCCGAGUAUUUAUACGAGGUCUAAAUACGGAGGCCCUAAGUAUGGUAUAAACAAGUUGUACUUGCUUAAUUUCGAUAGAUGACCAUAUUUUAGUUAGAUUCCGUUGAGUGGUCUGGAAUCCCAGUUCUUGUUUGUUUCCAUUAAGUUAGUCUGAAAACCUAGAUUCGAGUGCAUAAGAAUUGCUCACAGUGGAUAUUGUGGAUGCAAAUUUCCGCCUUCUUCUUCUUGGACAAAAUUGCACCUACAAAACAAUUAACACCUUAGGUCAAGGCCAAGAGGCUCACGCGCCCACGAUGAAUUAGGGGAGGGGGUUUUGGCCGAAGAACCUCCGAUGCCAAAGUUAGAAUUUAGAGAGAAAAGUAUUUGGAGAGUUUUUGGGAGUUUUGCAAGAGUAUGAAACUUAGCUUUUUAGAAGAAAUAGGGUCAUAUAUAUAGGGAAUGAGGUGUGGCCGGCCUUUAAGUGUGUUUUGGGGUGUUAUUUGGUGAUUCAAUUAGCAAUUAAUAUAUUAAUUAGGUAUAAAUAUAUUAAUUGGCUAAUUAUCAUAAUAAAACAAAUGUUUUGGGAGGUUUUGAAGGUUAUGGAAUGAGGAUGGAUGAGACAAAUUUGAAUUUGUUACCUAUUUUGGGUACUCCUAAUUUGGUUGAUGGAUGAUUCUCCACUGCUCGCGUGUAGGAGACCCGGUAUGCACCAAGGGUAAAUUUGUCAUCUUCACCCAAAAAUCCACGUGUCACCUUAUGAUUAUUUUUGGCUCCACAAAUAUUAUGUUUGUAAAUUAGAGUUAUCAUGUUAUUGCUUGGAAUUCAGGUAGGGAAUUAUGGUGAGUUCCUUUAUUAAAUUGGUGAAAUAAUAUGUGAUUUUUUUUUUUGAUUGAUUAACGUAGUUAAAUGUUAAUAUUGUGCAUCUUUGAUUUGUUAGAUCGCUUAAUUGUUGUGAUUGUGGAUUGUGUUGGAAAAUAUUGUGAUAUAGGUGAAUGACAAUCUUGUUCACAUAUGAUUUCAUUAUGUAGACGAAAAUCUAGCAAGGCAUACUCAAUUAUUGGUUCCCUUGUGUGAUUUUGGAACUCUAUGUUCUUGCCAGUUAAUGCCUUGAGACUUUUAGAGCUUAAAAGAAGGGUGAAUUACGAAUGGUUUGAUCCCGUUGUAGGGUAUAUAGGCAGUCUAACAUAGAUGUUCGAUGAUCAAGUACGUGGUGACAUCGCGUGUCAAUCUUGAACGUAGCUCGGGAUCAGAGGGUGACAUAUAGACUCUUGCAUUUGAUCCCCCAUAAACGCUCAUGCACAUCACCAUCUAAAAAGGAAACAACCAUCUUCACCAUAUUCCUUUCCGGAAUUGGCUGUGUCUUAAAAAGUUUCUCUCAGUUGUAAAAAAUAGGAUACGAAUCGUUGUAUUGUUUGCAAGAGCACGAAGCUCAAACUAGGAAAUAUCAGAAUAGAAUUAUUUUUACUUUCUAAUUUAUUUAUGUUCAAUGACCUCAAUUAUUUCCCUAAAUCAAGAGUGUUUUGAUGAUUUCCCACUAAAUUAACAUAAAGGGCCAAUUUCCGCAUACGGCCAUGUUACCCCAUACUUCAUCUAACUUUCUAUUGAAAAUGUCACAUUUCAAAAUUAAAAAAAAAAAAAAAAAGAAGACAAUAAUAAGAUUAAGAAAGGAAAUAUAACAAACACAAAAGGACAUUCAACGACCAACAUGUGACUUUUUGGGAUGGAAUUUGGGUAAAUUUGAAGCUAGGGAGAAAUUAUCUAUUCAUAGUAUUUUAGGGAAAAAAUUGGCCAAACCAAAACUUUAUGGGUAAUAUCGGCAAUGGGGUACAGGUUAAGGGGGGGAAUCGGCAAAUUACUCUUCUUAUAUGUAUAGAGAAACUGAACUCUAGUGAAGCUCUAGGUUAGUGUCAAUUGUGAUUAAUUGAAACAAUGGAAAGUAAAUAGAAGAAAACAUGGUGAUCAAAAUCUGCAAUGAGAGAAUAUCUCUUGAAAAUAUAUUUUUGAAGCACUACAUCCAACUAAAGGAAACGUAGAGAAGAUAAUAAAGCAACACUCUAAUUAAAUUUGGCUUGCCCGGUGUUCAGCAUAAUUAUAAGGUUAGUGUUCUGCAGUUCUACGUGGAUCUACUUAAAAAGCUUCCAGUAAAAUUGCUUUCUAGAGAAGCAUUUCCAAACGGACCAUAGAUGUACUAGUUUACAGGAUUUAAGCCAGUCAGUUAAGAGUUAGUUUUUACUCACCCCAUAACCCUUGUAUAGCUUACGCCCCUCUAGAUUGUGCCACAUGUUUAAAAGACAAAACACAAUUAGUCUAAUGCAUUUAAUUAUUUCUUACCAAUAAUUAAAGCAAUAAACUUACCAUUCAAAACCCCAUUGAGUGAGGUUUCAAAACAUAAUUCAUUAAAAUUACAUGCUGAAUGUUGUUGUUAAGGCCUUGCAAGGCAUGAUAGUGAUCGGAAUUGGGGCUCUUGACUUUAUAAUUGGUGAAGCUCUCUAUUCAUUCAGAAGCAGCAAUCUGUAAUGGAAAGAGAUCAAGAAUUUGCGUUGUUGAGCAAAUUUGACACCGUAUUCUAUAUACAAGCUCAGAGGUCGCACUUGGUGCGAUGGCAAGUGCCUUCGCCCAUGAGCGGUAGGUCUCGGGUUCGAGACUUGGAAGCAGCCUCUUCAUAAAUGGGGGUAAGGCUAGCCGACAUUCACCUCUCCCAGAUCUUGCGUAAAGCGGGAGCCUUGUGCACUGGGUACGACCUUUAUUCUAUAUACAAGCUCAAAGUAGCCACUCAUCGGCAUCCUAAUUUUGGGACGACAUAAAAAAUUCAUAUGAUCACCUAUCAAAUUUGCCCCACCUAGUCAGAAAUCAUAUUGCUAUUUAGCCUAAUGAAAAAGUUAGUUCACAUCGAAGACAACAAUCAAUACUUUUAUUUAUGAGACAAUGAUGCCCUAUUAAAUGGCGGCUCAGUUUACUCUCAAGGAUUGCUGAUUAAGUAAGCUCGAGAUGAACGGGUCUAAACUAGACAAGAAGAGUAAACUAUUCAAACUAUGCACAACAAGGAUAUGGUUAGUGCUUACAUGGAACUUUCUCUUCAGGUUGCUUUCGGUUGCACAACUCCGACAGCAGAUUAUAUACUUCAUGGCUUAGUGUUUGGAUCUUCCCCCGGGCUUGGCAAUGACCGAAGUGGAUGGUCGGAAGGGCAAAUCUUGUGAAGUUGCCAUUGCUCCACUGGCCCUGCCUUGACCUCUUCCUCUUGUCACAGUUUGCGAAGACGAAGGCAAUGCAGCAGAUCGCUGAGUGAACUCCAUUCGCCUUGAUCAUGGCAUGGCCUGACUACCUCUUCCUCUUCCUCCCCACACCUCAACCCUAACAACAAUAUCAAACUAAGCCUUAAGUUAACAAAGUAAAUUAUGCAUGUACGAUUUUCUCAGUUACUGCUCGAGAAGAGGAUGCAAAUUGAGUUUCAUCGCCUUUGCCUGUGACCCUCCCAUUUCCUCUGCCCAUUGGUCUAACUCUUCCUCUACCUCUUCCCCACUGAAUGAACAAGAAACGCUCGCUCGCUCUAAAUUUGGGUUGUGAUCAUGAAAUAAAUGAAACAAUAUGAAAGUGUACUGUACCACUAAAGAAAUGACACCCAAAACGUCCUCCUUAUCAACCUCCUCGCCACCAACAAUAUGCCUGACGGCAAUGCGGGCGGAGGAACUCGAAUUAUUCGAAUUCGAGAGGUGGCUGGCCACAAAGCGACUAUCAAUCAGAUCACGCCAGGACUCGUGGACGCAUUUGAACCGCAUCAGGGGAUUUAGGUGGCAAACUUGACAGGAUUUGGGCCACCAUAUUAUCCGACAAUUUGCAGGAAUUUGCCAUUAAUUAACUAAUUUAUGAAUAAUUUACUUGUCCUCCUCCUCUUCCUCCAUCUCUACUUUCCUUUAAUCUUGAGCAAAACAAACUGGAACGAUGAUCACUGAAACUGUUACCUUGAUUUUCCGAUAGCGUCGACAGCGUCGAGACCAGGAGGGCCCACUCAAAUUCCUCUCCGCGACACGAGCGACUGGGAAUCCUUCGUUUCCGAGCACUCCUCGGCUUCUUCCCUUCGUCCUUUCCGCUUGGCUCUGACGACUGUAGUCACUGCGCUUUAGUCCACGCCAGUCAACGCAUACUGACACUGACAAUGCUCUGUACUCUGUAGGGUUUCCCUUCGUUUCCAAACACUGGCCUUUUGCUGUUUGCCGCCGUAAGGCUCGCGCUUUCUGUUUUGUGUAAACGGGUUUGGGCCCAUUUUGGGUCGAGCAUUUGGGCUUUUACAAACUAAAAACAUUUGGAAGGUGUUUUUUCUUUUUUGGUCCGUCUCAAUAGUAUUCUGCUUAAGUGCUUUCCGAAUGGUUAAAAGCCCUUCAAAAAAUUAAAAGUGCUUCUUACAAUAUUUAGCGAAGAAAUAUUGUGUGUGCAGAUUACGAAUAUUAAUUUUUUCCUCCAAAGUAGGAGAUUUGAGUGUUUUCUUAAAGAAGCACAGGUUGAGUGCUUCUCGAAACAAGCAUUUGGAUUUUAAUUGACACACUUGUACCAAAAGCACUUCUAUUGAUUAAGAGAAGAUGUAAUUUCAAGUGAAGCGUCUAAGGGGCCUUCAAGUUGAGAACUUCUAUAACACGAGUACAUUGCUAUUGUAGCGUGCCUGCAUUUGAAGUUCUUCUGCAAACUAUAUCAGCCUGCAUAAGUACUCCAAAGUUAAACGUGUGCAUUUGAAGUUCUGCAAACUAUAUUAGCAUGCAGAAGUACUCCAGAGUUAAACGUGUGCAUUUGAAGUUUUUCUGCCAACUAUAUGAGCCUACAUAAGUACUCCAAAGUUAAACGUGUGCAUUUGAAGUUCUGCAAACUAUAUCAACAUGCAGAAGUACUCCAAAGUUAAACGCGUGCAUUUGAAGUUCUUCUGCCAACUAUAUCAGCCUGUAUAAGUACUCCAAAGUUAAAACGCAUGCAUUUGAAGUUCUUCUGCAAGUGUUAUCAGCAUGUGGAAGUAAGUCUUUUUAACUUUGGUUUCAUGAUUAUAUCCAUACAUUUUGAACAUAAAGAACAUCAUAUCAUGUAACAUAAAAAAAAUAUCAUAUAUCCAUUCAGAAGCCCGCUGAGUAGGUCGUCAAAACAUAAUUCCGCAAAGAGAAAUAAAUAAAGCAAUUAAAAGAGCUGCAAUCAUCAAGCAAAUUUGACACUUGAUGCCUCCAAAACAUCUACUCCUUUGUCAUAAAUCUGCAACCAUAUCCUACAUCAUAUCCUACAUACAAGUUCGGUAUCCUACUUCCGAGACAAACAUCAAAAAUUCAAUCCGCUAUCAAAUUUUCCUUCACCUAGUCAGCAAUCGUCUUCUGUUUAAAAGUAAUGAACGAUUCAAAAUUAAGUUCCACCUCAAAUACGAGACCAGUGGUAUAAGGACAGCACUGUACGAAACGAGAGGAGUGAUUAGUAUCUCAAACUAUGCACAAAAAGGAUGAAGUUAGUGCUGCUGCAAGAACAGAUCAUGUGGCUUUCAUUUGCUUGACUGGGAACUUCUCUUCAGCUUGCUUUUGCCACAUAUAGUUUGCAGCUUCAAUCCACUGUUUAUUAACUAAAAACUUCUUUUCUUUGACCGCCCAUUUAGACUUCUCUGUGCCAGCAUCUCCUGAAACCACAUGUGUCACCGAUGGGUCCACUUGUGUCGAACAAGAGGCUCCUAACUGCUCUGCCAUCUUCCAGAGAGGUUGAUUCUCAGCAUCGACAUUCGAAGGAAAUUCGUGGCUGAAAACAAUUUUACACCCCUUUAACACAUCCUUCUUAACAGUUUUCAAC